UAAAAUUUUAAUUUUUUAUUUCAUUACCGAACAGUCAGUAUAUCAAAUCAUGAGUAGGGCUACUAUACUCUUACGAGUAUAGAGUCCUUCGUACUUAUAAGUGAUUUUCGAUGACUGAGCUUUCGAAUCGACGAUCCACUCCAUUAAAUACGAUAUAGAGUAUUCGAAACUUCUAGAAAAUAAGUUUGUAAUUUUUCGAAAUCAUAAUAAAGUUCAUCAAGCGAGCAUAAAAUGAACGAUCGAAAUCGAACAACGUCCUAAAAAUAAAUGAUUAGAUCAUUGAAUUUAAGAUCGGAGUUAUUGAUCUUUUUCUAAGUAGUGAAUAAAAUUUUUUAUAAAAAAUUCAACCAACUCCAAUUCUUUUACACUAUUAAACUAGCAAAUAUCUCAUACCGGCCGUUAAAAAUUGUCAAUUUUGUGAUCUUUUAAUCGUAAGAUAAAUGAUGCCAAAAAAUUAUAAAAUUUGAUUUCUAUAAGUUUUAAAUGCUUUAAAUAGCGUUUAACGGUAUGGAUUGUCGAUUCGAAAACUCUAUAAUUAAAAACAACUUAUGAGUACGAGGGCGAUCGUACUCAUAAGAAUAUAGUAGCCGGACUCAUCAAAUUAUAUAAAAAUAAAUAUUUUAAAAAAUUUAAAAAGAGCUAUGAUAUCUACAUUAGUAAAGUAAAAAAUAUUAUUAUAUUUAAUAGUUUGGUUAGCUUUUAGUACUAAUUGUUCCAAUUCUAUCUACAAAGUUAAAAUAAAAACUAUUACGAUGAAAAUCAAAAUAGAUUUAAUAUAUUAUAAUUCUAAUUUAGUAAAUUAUUUAGUUAAAAAAACCAGAAGUUAAGUCAUGGGGAAUCUAAAAAACUAAAAUUUGAGAUUGUCAUUUCAAAAUUGCUUACUGAUCGGUCGCUCUCUGCAUAAUUUUUUGCUAAAGAAAAUUAAAAAAAUGAGGAACUGGUGUUGGGUGGUAGUAUUAAAAAGGGAGUGGGGGAGAUAAUAAACUGCAGGGAUAAGAUUAUUUGCGCGUGAAAAGGAGUUGCUUUUGAAAGUGGAGGCACAUCAUCCUGCAGUCUCGUGUGCAAGAUCUUCGAGCACGGGCGGGCCGUGCUGCCCGUCCUUUUAACUCUUCUGCCGACUUUGGUCAGUCAAAUCAUCAUCAUAGAAAUAAGAUGAAUCAGACGAUAUAAAACUUGUUUCGAAUUCUGAUAAGUUCGGUUUCGAAUUUUGGAUGCGAUUUUUCGAUUCCUGUUUGUUCUGAUCUUAAACAUGAGUCCAAAUGCAGAAGCGACAUUUUUCGAAUGUUUAAAGAGGUUAUUCUAUAGGAGGUUAUUUGGUAUGAGAAUUCAGAUUAAUGCGGAUCGUCCAAGAAGUUAAUUAAAUGAUCAUAAAAAAAAUAUUAUAAACACUAUUUUUUGAUACCCGAGCUUUUGAAAAGAAGCGAUUGUUUUAUAUAAUUUGAUAUGAUAUCAAAGUAAGAAAUUUUGAGUUCGAAUUUCACCUGGCACUCCUAAUAUUAUUUAAUUUAUUUUUAAUUAAUUGAAAGUAUUUCAUUUGCUUGAGAACAAAGACGCAUGUAUAAAUGAAGAAUAUGAAAUUCAGAAAACCAAACAUAAUUUUUUUUUUAUCCUCCCUCUCUUCCGAGAGUAACACAAAAGGAAAUCCAAUCCGAUCGAUUAAUGCAUUGUAUUCUUAGAUUAUUCCAAUAGCAAGUUGCUAUGCGAAAUAAUAUUCGGGCUACUAAAAUGUUUGUUUAUUAAGUUCGACACCGAAUUAUAACUAGGUACGUACAGUUGAACGACUCGGGUCAUUUACAUGACUUACAUCUUAUAAUUAUCGAUAUAGAUAAUCAUGAAACUCGACCUAUUUGUUUGUUUGUUGAAUUUGUAUUAGUCGACUUCAUGCAUGCCUCUCUAGCUUCUUUGCUUGCUAGAAUCAAUUCUCCUUCAUCCAAAUACGGAGAAAAUGUAUACGCAUUUCGCAUCGCAUCAUUCAAAGGAAAACCAGGACCAAUCUCCACCAAUCGCAUCUAUAUGUCGACUGGAGUGUUGAAUGUUAUAACGUAUACGAAAAAUAUUUUGGACGUGGGAUCGAGCUGCAGAAAAUUUGCGAGCUCUUAUUAAUUAAUUAGCCCCAAAACAUUUUUAAGCAUUUUGACUUUUUAGCACCGGGAAAAGCCACCAACCAAGCGCUGACCAUGGCACAUUUAGCUGCCACAAAUUUUAGUGCCCACACCCUCAAUUGUGGGUGCCCAUGUGCUUGAACAUGUAUCGCACCAUAUCCAAUAUCACAUUCCUAUAUAUAUAUAUAUAUAUUAAUUAAAAUAAACACAAUAAACACCUCUAUGUCUUUAACACCCUUGUACUGUUACUUUAUCACUUCUAUAUUGGUUUAAAUGGUUAAGAUCGAAGAAGAGGGUGAUGCUUAGAGAGAGUAUCUUCAUCAUGGAGACAAGUGAGUGCAUGUGCAUUGUUCUUAGUUUUCGAGUGCGAACAUUUUUUAAAUGGUGCACAUUAACAUAUUUAAGUGGUUGAGUGUCGUGUAGCCAUCCAUAAGGUGCAUUGUACUAUCACACUAUAGGUAGCUGUAGCUAAAGCAUUGAUAUAAUUGGUUGCGCACGAUUUAGGGCUUUAACAAAGUUCCUAGGGUUCCUGUACGCUGUGAUCGUAUAAUUAAGUUGUUUUCUAAUUUCAUAAAGCAGUAAAUAAGUUCUUGCAUGUGCCUCCCAAAUGAUCACCAAGUGUUUUGGUGUUAAUCAUGCAUGUGUAUGAUGGAGAAGAAAAUGAAAAAAACAAUAGAAUAUAAAAAACAAAAGAGCGGAAUAAAAGAUAGAAAUAAAUGUUAUAAAACGACUGAUUUAACUAAGAGUAAUUAUUGAAAUAUCUUUAAACUGAUAAAAAUGACGAAUUUAAGAAUCAAACUCAGGAUCUCUGAAAAAAAGAGAGCUUGCGACUGGCUGAAAUAUUAUAUUAUUCGAAAGAUCAAUCACAUAAUUAGAAAUGUUUACUCUAACUAGUAUAGAACACGAGUAAUUCGAAAGGAGGUUCUUAAUUAGAGGGGUUGGUGUGAACCACGCAUACUUGUACACACAACCAGACAAUAUUGCAUAUGUUUGUGAAAGACUCAAAUAUUUUCGAAUCGAACUUAUGCAAAACUUAGACUAAUAUUUUCGAAUCUACUUAUGCAAAACUAAUUAUUUUGCAUUGAUAUAUCGAAUAUAAAAUGUCAAAAGUACCAUUUUAUAGUACCCUAAAUAUUGAGGGAAAAUUAAUUAUUUCGUAAUAUAGGCAUAAUAUUCCUUUAAAAACUGAGUUUUUUUAAUCUAAAUAAAUGUCCUCUUGUGACACGCAUCAGAUAUACUCAUGCUAACGUCAUAAGUUUACAUAUGUUAAACCAAAAAAAAAAAGAUUUUUUUUAAACAAAAAACCAAGAUUUUUUUAUGCAAACGUAAAACCUUGUGAGGGUGUAUACGCAAAAAUAUGUUGAAAACAGGUUGUAUCUGGUAAUUGUGCUUCUUAUUUCAAAGGGCGGUGCUACAGUACACCCCAUUUGCGAGUGUACAUUUUAUGCCUUUCAAAUUUAAGAAUGAAUACUUUUUAAUACCAAAAAUUUUAAAAAAAAAUUAAAAUUUUGAAGUGAGGAAUGUACAAUAUGCACCUUUUUUGCCAGUGUAUUAUUCUAUUCUUAUCUAGUAAGGUACGGUGCGUUUCUAUGUAAAAAAAUGUACAGAGAAAUGUUACUUGUGCAGUUGUACGUACGCUCUUACACUAUUUGUUUAAAUGUACGGAUAGUAUUAUUUAAAAGUAAUGCAGCUAAAAAUGAUGGUUCUCUAACAAAAUAAAAAAAAAAAAACCUUGUCAUCAUCAAUGUCUAAGGAUUUAGUUGUUAAUGAUGAUGGCAAUGGAGNAAAAAACUUGUCAUCAUCAAUGUCUAAGGAUUUAGUUGUUAAUGAUGAUGGCAAUGGAGCUCCAACACCCAGGGACCUCCUCAUUUGUCUUGUUAUUUGGAUUUCAAGGCUAUUAAUUUCUUGUACGCUUUAACGCAAUUGGCUCGUGCUAAACAAGGUUAAUAACGAACUCGUGCUAUUCUAAAACUCGUAAGGUCGGGCCAUUUCCCAGUUGGAUCGGGUCGGGUCUUAUGUUGAGUAUAAGCCUCAACUAUCAGCAGCUGGUUGUACUUCUGCUUUUGCAUUCAGCUACAAUCAUUACUAUUUUAGGCUCUGUUUGAAAACGCUUCUCAACAUGCCAAACGAAGUGGCGAAAGGUCUCAUGCGACAACAUAUGCGAAUUACGCACCAUAAUUGCUUGCGCAUGUGGAAUUGAACAAUGUUAUCCUUUCCUUUUCUUCUGCAGAUGCAACAUGACAUAUAUAUACGAUGCAUAAUAAGGCGCACUUAGAAAAGCCUUAGAGUGUUUAACAAAUAGAAAAAUUUUGGUACUUUUAUUGCGAGUGAGUGAAAGCGAAAGUAAGGCUUCGUAAUCGUGUUAGGUGCUUAGCGCUUUACGUCGUAUUGCAUCUUGAGCAUGUUGGACACAUUUUAUUUAUUUUUAUUUUUACUUUAUUUUUGGAACUGGCUCUUCCUUUGCACUCCUAAUCCCACCACAAUCCUAAUUAACUUAACACAAACACUACUCAAUAAGCGAACCGGAGACCUCCAAAUGUCGUGCAAACGUGUGAGAUUGAACUCAAAAAAAAAAAAAAAAAAAAAAAAAAAAACUAAAUUACACUUUUGGUCCUCAAAAAUUAAUUUAUUUUAAUUUUUAGCUUAAACUUUUUAAAUUAUUAUAAUGAAAUCUCACUGUUUAAUUUACUUGAUUGAAUGGUUGGGUACUGCUAAUAUGUUAGUAUUGUAGUUGACGAUGCGACAAUAACUAAGAUGUACUACUAGUACAUCGGCGACACAUCAUCAUUAAACCAGCUACGGUAGACUAUUUAACUUAAUUAAAAUAAUAACCUAAAAUAUUUAAGUUCGAAAUUAUAAUAAAUUAAAGUUGGAGCAUCAAAAGUGUCAUGCAUUUCAUAAUUCUCGGACCUAAAACACCGGAUGUUAUUUUGGGCAAGGCCCCGUGAAUUGGGCCGAUCCAAGCCCAACGGUUUAUGGGCCUCUAACAUACAUACCAAAAAAAAAAAGAAAAAAAUAAUAUAAAGCUUAUCUCAGCUAUUACUCAUUUGUAUUCAACUAUCUAACUUUUAAAAAGUUUGAUUUGAUUAUAUAAUUUUUUAAUUUAUUAAAUUUGAAUCAAUCAGUGAUUUUUUAAUAUCAAAAUUUGAAUGCAUUGUAAACUCUUAUCUAUGCGUAACUUUAAAUUGAAUCCAGCUACUAUCCUUUUAGAAGGACGGAAGUCUUCAUUCUCCUAAGUCGUUUUAGAUGAUAAAGAUUUCAAAUGAUGAUCAGAGUGGUGAAAGUUGAUUUAGGAUAUUUAAAGUGUUUAAAAACUAUAUUUUAUGAAUUUUAAAAAUUAUUUAUAUAGUGAUCAGAGGAUCAUAAAAUUAAUAGUUUUUGACGGCUUAUAUGAACCGUUUACUUAUUUAACGGUGGAGAACAAUUCAAACAGUUUGAAUUUUUGAUAGAAAAUUUUUUAUACUACUUUGAUAACGUUUGAUAACUCCCAUUAUGCAUUGAAAAAGUCUAACAUUUAUUUUACAGGAUUAUUCAUUUUUGACUGUUUAUUUUUCGACUUUUUAGUGAACUUGAUAAUAAAUUUUGAAAUUUAUAAAAUUUAGUUUUAAUCGUUAUAAAUACUAUAGAUUAAUUUUAACAGUUCCGAUUGUUGAUUCGUAAUUCCUACCAUUUAAAACGAUUUAGGCUUAAUUUGAUAUUGAGGCCUAUUUAAUACUAUGCAUAUAGUAAUAUACUUUUGCGUCCUCUUAUGGAGUCGUAAAAAAUAUAUCAUAACUGACUUAUCGCGAUACGUGGAAUUCUCCAAUGGAAUCGUAGAAAAUAUAUUAUAAUUGGCUUAUCGCUAUCCGUGGAAGGUAAUAUUAUAUAUGAAAAUAAAUAGUAUAUUGUUUCAAAGUACUUAGCUAGCCAGACUCCUUUAAAUUCAUCGAGCUAAAUAAUUAGAUCAAAAUUUAGUGUCUAAAAACCAAUCGAAUUAUGUAAAAUAAAAUAAAAAAUUAAAUAUUAAAAUUAAAUCUUAUAAAAGAUUGGAUACUAGAACUAAAAUAGUCUAGUUCCAGAAGUUAAAAAAAUAAUAAUAAUAAUAAAAAAUUAAAAAAUUAAAAAAAAAAAUCGGACCCUAAUUCCCCGUAGGGUUUAAGGGGGCCGGGCGAGGAGGAGGAGGAGGAGGAGGAAGAGGGAGGAGAUGCCGCUGUACGACUGCUUGUUGCUGGCGAAGCCGCAGGUGCGGAAGGAGGCGGUGAUGGAUUUGGUGGCGCGCGUGGGCCGCCGCGUCUACGAGCGGAACGGCCUCGUCACCGACCUCAAGUCCUUCGGCACCGUCCACCUCGGCUACGGCAUCAGGAAGCUCGACGGCCGCCACUUCCAGGUCCCCCUCCCACCUCCCCCCAUCCCCUCUCUCUCUCUCUCUCUCUCUCUCUCUCUCUCUCUCUCGAUCUCGUGCUAAUUCUCUUUCAAUCUCAGUCUAUACUUGCUGUCGAGGUUUUGAGAUUGGUGCCCGUAACAUGUUCGACGAAAUUCCCGAGUGAACGAACUCUUAGGAGGCCUUCUUUCUUAGAGAUAUAGAAGGGGGAAGGUGCAUAGGCGAAGGGUUUGCUGUUUGCCAUGUAUGCUGUUUGUUUCGCUCUCUUUCGUAAUAAAGCCAUUGAUGUGAUUUUUCUCGAGAUUUCGAGAUUGGUGCCCGUGACGUGUUCGACGAAAUGUCCGAGUGAACUCUUAGGCGGCGGUGGUUCGUCUCGAGAUUUUGAGAUUGGUGUCCGUAACAUGUUCGACGAAAUGUCCGAGUGAACGAACUCUUAGGAGGCCUUCUUUCUUAGGGACACAGAAGGGGGAAGGCGCAUAGGCGAAGGGUUUUGCCAUUGUAACGUAUAUGCGGUGUCACGCUCUUUUGUAAUAAAGCCAUUGAUAUGAUUUUGUAAUCUCUAUUAAGUGUUUCCGCUUGGUGGUGGUUCGUCUCGAGAUUUCGAGAUUGGUGCCCGUAACGUGCUCGACGAAAUGCCUGAGCGAACGAACUCUUAGGAGGCCUUCUUUCGUAGAGAUAUAGAAGGGGGCCGCAUAGGCGAAGGGUUUGCAGUUUGCCGUAUAUGCGGUUUCGCGCUCUUUUGUAAUAGAACCGUAGUGUUGAUCUAUCACUUGUUACAGAACAAAGAGCUGUAAAGAGCAUGCUGUUUAUUGGAGAGUAUCUUGUUUCCGGUGAAAUCCUUUUCUGGCAGAUCAGAUUUGCAGUCGUCAAAAAUUGUUGGAUUCUUAACAUGUACUAAACUCAUCAUAGCGAAAACUAAUCUGUCUAAUUGUGUUUUCUCAUCUUCCGUCCUUCUCAGUGGUUUCCUUCUAUAUACUUGUCUCCUGAACCAUAAAAGACCGAGAAACUGUUACAUACUAUAGAAGGAGAUAAUUCUCACUCUGAGGAACCAUUGUUUUGAGAAUUAGAGUCGCUGAAUCGUAUUAGAUAUAGGGUAAUUGUAUGCCUUCUUUUCGUGCAAGCGUAAGCAAUUGUUUUGUUCAGUGAAUCUGCGUUACCGGCCAUCAUUAAUCUUUGUUUUUACCGAUUUGCUUCUGCAGGGCCAACUCAUGCAGAUGACCUUCAUGGUUCCGCCGAAUUUUAAUAAGGAGCUUCAAUACUUAAACAAGGAAGACCGACUACUGCGCUGGCUCAUCGUGAAGCACAGGAAUGCUGUAUACGGUCUCGAGUUCAUUAACGAGGACGACGGGAAGGAUGAGCUGAGCCUGUUCCGUACUUCUGGCUUGUACAGUAAGGAAGACGACGACGACGACGAUGAUGAAGAUGACGACAACGAUGACGAAUAUGACGUGCGGUAACAUCAUGGUAAGUUUGAAGACGCUUUUGAAUGGUUUAAACACACUUUGAUUUUAAAAUCGUUGGUACUGGAACUCUCGCAGGCUUUACUUCUUUCACUAGUUAGGAUCGAGUGACGCACAUAAAUGAUCAUAUGAUGGAAUAUGAAUUUCAUAGCUAGAAAAAGUUGUUGUUUGCUCGUGAUUUCAAUUAUAUCUGUAAUUCCUUUUGUUCGUAGUACAAUAUUGUGGCGCGGAUAGCUUGUUGUAGAUCUUUUAUGUUAUCUUAUGUCGUUUCUCUCGGAUGAACAAAGAGAAUAAAUGAAGCUUGAUGAUCCUGUGAGGAAGAGGUACCACUCUUUAUAUUUUGGACAUUGAAGAAAACAAAGAAAGAGAUAGGUCCCUGCCUUAGGUAGCGUUUGGUUGGGGAAUAAGGGGGGGAAUAAGCCCUUGUUCCCCCCUUUGUUCCCAAACGCUAUGUUUGGCUCCCAAGAACAGUAGUUCCCGAAAAUCUGGAACUAGCUGGAAUAAGGCUGGAAUCGCUGUUCCACCUGUUUUCUGGAACAAGCUUGUUCCUUGAUGAGAACAAGAUUAAUUAAAAUCUAAAUUUAAUUUUAAUGGCAGUAAAUUAUUAAUUAAUCUAAUUAAUAUAUUUAAAUUAUUAUUUAUUAUUUUAAUAAUUAAAUAAUUAAGUAAUUUAUUAUUUAUAAUUAAUUAUUAAUAAUUAGAUAAUAAUUAUUAUUAAUUUAUUAUUUAUAAUUAAUUAUUAAUAAUUAAUAAUAUUUAUUAAUUUUUUAUUAAUAAUUAUUAAUAAUUAUUAUUCUUAAUGAUAAUCGAUAUUAUUAUUAAUAUAUUAUUUAUAAUUAAUAAUUAUUAAUUAAUAUUAUUAUUUAUUAAUAAUUAAUUAAUAAUUAUUAUUCUUAAUAAUUAGAUAAUCGAUGUUAUUAUUAAUUUAUUAUUUAUAAUUAAUUAUUAAUAAUUAUUAUUAUUAUUUAUUAAUAAAUAUUAAUAUUAAUUAUUAUUAAUAAUUAGAUAAUCAAUAUUAUUAAUAAUUUAUUAUUUAUAAUUAAUUAAUAAGAAUAAUUAAUAAUUAUUAUUAUUUAUUAAUAAUUAAUAAUAAUAAUUAUUAUUAUUAAUUAGAUAAUCGUUAUUAAUAAUUUAUUAUUUAUAAUUAAUUAUUAUUAUUAAUUAUUAUUUAUAAUUAAUUAUUAAUAAUUAAUUUUUUAUUUAUUUUUAAGUAAUAUUUUUAUGUUAAUUAAUUACAUAAUAUAAUUUUAAUUUCAAAUUAUAACGUUUAUUCCUCUUGUUCCAAUCUAAUCAUCCAAACACUAUUUACCUUAUUCCUAGGAACAACCUAAUUUUCAUCCAAACGCAAAAUUUGUCUAGUUCCUGCUUAUACCUGAACUUGUACCUAUCUCUAGAACUAGCAGUUCUUACUUAUACCCGAACCAAACGCAGCCUUAGAGUGUGUCACUUCCAUUGUAACAAAGUAGCAAAACUUAAACAUUUUUGCUUGGACAACAUUAGGCCACAAAAGGAGUCUACUAAUAGGUUGUCAAAAAUUAUGGGUAUCUGAAAUUUUUAAAUUUUGAUUUCAAUAUUUGAAUAUUUUCCUUUUAUUCUUUACUCUGAUGCCUUUUUCAUUAGUUUCUUUGUCAGGUUUUGCUGGAAAUGUUAUAAAUUUUUUUAAAAAAUACAAGGUUAGAUAUUAAGGUAAAAAAUUCUUAAAAUUAAUUCACUUAUUUCAAAAUGGUGAUAUUAUCAAGAUUGCUUAUUUUACUGUUGUCAGAAAAUUUUAUUUAACUUAGUAACUAGACUCCACCUCAGUGAAUUUAUUUAAUCUAUUUACAGCAAAAGUUAUUUUGUUAAUGUCAUCUCCUGAUCCAAAAUGAGUCAUGGUUUAGAUUAUUGUUGAUACUUUUAUUAAAAACAUAGUGAGAAAAUUAUAGCUGAUUUUAAUAUUGAUAAAUAGAUUUAUUAAACUAAGUUACUAUUCAUUUACUUAAUUUGAUCAGAUCCAAUGAUUUUGAUUUGUUUCCUGUAAACAUCACUCAACUAAUAUCACUUUUUUUUUUCGAAAAAAAAAAAAAUUAACAGGGUAUAUGCGAUCUAGGUUCGGAUAGUAACUUCUUAAUUAGCAACCAUUACCUAAAAUAAUUCAUUGUUACGCAAGAGAAUAUCUUAUUGUCUUGUUUCGAACUUUCGAUUGAUAAUAUAUGACAAAAAUUUUUGAGUCGAAAUAUAAAAAAUAUUAUUUUCUGACGUUUAUACUUAAUAUUUUUUAACAAUUUCGGAAAGAAUGUUUUUUUAGAGAAAUAUAGUAUGUUAUCAAUUUUUGAGAGAAGUAUAUUUUUUAACAAUUUCGGAAAGGAUUUUUUUUUAGAGAGAAAUAUAGUAUGUUAUCUGUUUUAUUAUUUGCACCAGGAAGGGUCAAUAUUUCUGAAAAAAGAUUGUUCUUAAAAUUUUAGGUUGAUGCAUUUAGUUCUCACUUGGUUAGAGUUUUGUCACUAUUUCGUAUAUUUAUUUUAUUUAUUUCUUAUAAUUUAUAUAAAUAUUUUAAAAUUAACAAAAAUAUAUUAAAAUUAUUUUUUAUAAAAUUAAGGAUAAUUUAAUUAUUUCGUCCUUUCCAUUAAUGUUCUAAUCUCUAAAAAUAUUUUUAAAAUUUUUAAAAAGCAAAAUAUUAAUUUUUAAAAAAUAAAAAAAAAUAUUUAUCAAAAAAUUUUAUAAAUUUUAGUCUUGCAACAACGAGAAAGUCUACCAUGUGACAUUUGCACCACAUCAUUAAUAAUAAGUCAACUAUAUUUCUUUAUUUAAAAAAUAUAUAUAUAAUAAAAUUAUUUUUGUAUAAUUAUGGUGGGAUAAACAAAUUUUUUAAAAAAUAUUUAAUUAAUUAAAAACAUCACGGCACUAAUACAACUGAUGCAUUCUAAAUUUUUUCCACGAUAACAUAUUUUUCCCCUGGGGCUAAACCUUUUGGGGUUCGUUUGUCCCCGAGCCCAUGCAGGGACAGGUCGACGCACAAAGCGACGGACUUGAUGAGCCUUUUUCAAACAAACAAAUCGUCCGUGCCCAAUACCUCGUCGUCUUUUUUUUGGGACUUUCACAUCCGUGACUCACACUAUUUCACGAAACAGGAAAAGCUAGCUGUUUCAGGUGCAGUGAAAAGAGAAAAAAUUUUCAUGUCAAAAAUCUGAUUUUUUAUUUUUUCUCUUUGUCAUUUAAAAAUUUACACUUUGCCUUCUUGUAAAAUUAAAAAUGUUCAAGAAAGUACGGUAUGAACUGUGAUAACAACAUAACCAUUUUGUGUCUUACCAUUUUGUCCCUCAUCAUGUUCACAGGAGAGAAGAUUGAAAAUAUUUUUGGCAUAAAAAAAAUAUAUAAUAAUAUUUUAUAAACGAAAUCUUAACGGAUUACUAAUGGCAUGGGACGAAGAGAAUAUUUUUUAUUUUACAAGAGAGAAAAAUGUAGGUUUUUAAAUGACAUGGAGUGAAAGUAAAAAAUCGGGUUUUGACAGAGGAAUUUUAUAUAAUUUAGCAAAAAAAAAAAUAAUUUUAUUAAAGUCUCUACAAACAUAAUAAAUUGUAAAUAUAUUGCUACAAAGUUCAAUUUUUAUAUGUUGUUCCUAUAAAAGUCCUAAUAUUUUCAAAUAUGUCCAUCUGGUUUAUUACCGUUAUAGUACUGGUUACUUUAUAAGUAAAAUAAUUUUUUUGUCAUCACAAAUAUGUCAUUUCAAAAAUUUCAACUGAUAAUUAAAAAAUGAUAAAAAAAUCAAUUCAUCUCAUUAACUAACUAGAGUUAAGUAUUUUAUUUAUGAUUAACUAAUUUUUUCUAACGGAUCCUAAUUGAAAGGAACAUAUUCGAGAAUAUCAUAAUUUUUACAGAAAUAAUAUAUAAAAGUUGAAUUUUGUAGGGAUAUAUUUAUAAUUUUUUAUAUUUGUAAGGAGACGUAUGAAAUUAACCUAAAAAUAAAAAGGAAAACCUGCUCUUUCUCUUGUAACUCUCCUGAUAUUUUAUAAAAAUAAAAAUGAGAACAAAAAUAUUCGUUCUAUUGUAUAUAUAUGUACUCAUUGUUCUUAAAAGGAUUGUAGCAUGUGACAUGCUGGAAAAGCGCUUGUGGCUCUGUUAAUUGUGGUAUGUCGCCAAGCGGCUGCACUUCAUUGAUGGGGGACAAAAAUUCUAUGGGCACCGGCCCAAAUUACGAGAAAUUCUAUACGGUCGCGUUGGCACCAUGUCAUUAAUAACAAACCAAUCAUAUUCAUUCUUUUCAAACAAAAGUAUAAUAAGAAUAUUUUUUUAUAAUUAUUAUGGAAUAUAUACUCCUAAAAGAUACAUUUGAUUGAUUUGUUAUGCCACAUCACCAAUAUAUUCGUUUGCAUUCUAGAAUUUUUUCCAAAUUACUUAGUUUGGGGUCGGUUCCGAUGUGCGCCACAUUGUCACAGGGUUAGCUUUUUCGCCUCAAAAAUCCCCGCGCGGCGCUCAAGUGUCGCACACCCGAGCCAGCCAUCUCGAGUCCCUUACGCGGACAAGUCUCCCAGACUUAACAGCGGAAUACCAAUCCAAGCAUUUUGCCAAGCUUGCUCCUCCCCGAGACUUACAGCCCGACCCUUCGCCUGUAAUCGAACCCCUCGUCGGACUCCCUGAGUUCCCAACGAGCAACCCCAAUACCGAGGUUGGCCACCAAGCUAGGUGUCUCCCGUCUUGCCAACCGAUCUCUCCUCGAGAGUGCCUCUUAACCGAAUGCCUUGCUGCCUUCGUCGCCAGCCCAAGGACAUUACAAGUUCUCCCCCAACUUGUACAAUAUGAGUAUAGCCAAGCGUCUCGCCUCCCACGCGUUUCGCCCCCGCGACUCAAUCCGCACGCCUCUAGCGUCGAGGUCCGGGCUUCGCGACAUCGCAUGCCACGAAGGGCACUCAUAACCAUAAGUUCCUUUACAUCGUGUCUCAUGCGCCUGACAACGCCCAUGGCCAUACCGCAUCCGCGGCCUGCUCGCUCGGUCCAACGGCUUACCUCCGAAAAGCCACCCAAGUGUGCGCCACAAGCUCGCUUGCCCCCAACAUCAGCACCUCAGCGUGACACCACGCACGUCCAUGCUACGCACCUCCGUGCUUCGCAUUCGACCCGUGCGGCCCUCGUGUCCCAUCGCUCCUGACAAGGGAACCAACAAGUCCACACCGUGCUUCUCGACCGUCUUAACGACCCUCGCUUUGCCACGGCGCUCCGCGCCCUCGACUCCCUUAGGUUCGCCUCAUAAGGCCCCAUACAAACGAACCGGCCUCGCUCCGCAUCGCUAGCCACUGGCCCCUCCUUGGCUCGACCACGCCUGGCCGCUUACACCACUGGUCCAGUCUCUCAAGGUUCACUAUACGGAUACCGAUACCGCUUGCCUCCUUGGGUUCCGCCCCUCGAGUCUCGUAGACUACCCACCUUACGAAUUCUCCCUCGGCGUGCCUCCCUUUAGCGUCCCUAUCGAGUCUUGCCUUCUUGGCCUUCGUGGGCGCCGCGCCCCACGAAUCCCCGCUCGGCACACUUGCCUUCGCGAGCCUUGUCCUUUACGGAGGACCGUCCGUCGCUAGACUAUCCCUCAUCCGCUCGUACGCUCCACUACAGAGAUCCAAGCCGGCAUAAGGUAGCGCAAGCGAUCCUAGGGAGGAAGCCUCCCGGUAUUCCCCGCUCCGUAAUGUCGUCGACCUCUCUCGUCUCCGACAUUACCCUAGGCCCGUGUCCCUUCAACCGUCCAUUAACCGGCUACACGGAACGCUAGGCUUGGCUACUCCGCUAGCCAAGGGACGACCCAUGUCCUAUGGGUCGACGGGGGAGUCGGGGCCACUUACGAAGUGUCCACCCCUCCUCUAAUACCCUUACGAGGCAUCCACUCCUUUGGCACCCCGGGGGUACGAAGGUGCUCACCGAGGGGUACGUUUUCCAACUCCGCAUGCGGCACCUGUUUCCAUGUCAUGGCACGGGCCCUUGCUAGGGAAUUGCCUCCGUUGACUUGACAGCGACUCCUACCUGACGGAACGCCUCAACUCCGCAACUCCAUAACUUCGUCAACCCAAAUGCCUACCAAGUUUGGCCCUCAAAGGUGUCACGGUCGAGACCCAACGAUCGACCCGUGACAGCAUGGCACAGGCACCGCUGCUCUCCCAAUUUGGGUGCACCUGGUGCAUCUAUACCAGGUGCACCAUAAAAUUAAUUUUUAAUUUUUAGUUUUUUAAAUUACAAUUUUAUGUAAUAAUUUAUUUAUUUUUUUAGGAGUUAUCAUGUAGAAAUUAAAUUUUAAAGUCCAUUUGGUUUUAAAAAAAAAGGAACAAUAAAAAUUAUCCACCAUAUUCCACGAAACCAAAAAUAAAUUUAUUUUAAUAUUUUAAUUUUCUAAAUCAAUAAUCAUGAAUUAUAGACCAUAUAAAUCUUAAAUCAUAACAUAUAUAUAUAUAUACUAAUAUAUUAAGUUUUAAUUUUAAAAAAUUAAAAAAUUACAAUUAUGGUGCACCUGCUAUACAUGCACCAGGUGCACCCAGAAAUUUCACUGCUCUCUCCAUAUUGGGAGAGCAGUGCCAUGCGGCACCCAUCGGGAACCGGCCCCAAACUAAAUAAUUUGGGGCUGGUGCCCAUAGAAUUUUUGUCCUAUUGAUCGGCUAUUACAAUGCUUGAAUUAAAUAAAAGAAAAUUAAAUGAGAUCAGGUGUGAUCGUGACACGUAAUCUGUUGGAGAAAUAUUUUUGAAUAGGUUAAUUGUGAGAUUCAACCACGCACACAUAUUCUUCUCCUAUAAUAAUAUAUUAAAAAAUUUGAAACAAUUAUUUUUUUUCAAAAACUUUUGUUAUCAAAAGUAGAAUAUUUAUAAUAUUUAAAUUCAAAAUCCUUAAAAUCUCCAUUAUUCACUUAAAAAUGAAAUAAUAAGAAGGGUAAAGCAUACAAACCCCGUACAAUUUUCAGCACUAGCUAAUAGAUCUAUUUUAGAAAAAAAUUAUGUUUGUUAUAUAAUGACGUAGCUUUUAUAAAUGAACAUUUUGUUUUUCUCUCAUCAAUGAUAGAUCAAUUUUACUUGAUUUCACGCAAGAUUAACGUAAUAAAAAAAAUAUAUGUUUGCAAAUUAUCUUAGAUUAAAGACUAGAAUUAUUUAUAUUAAAAAUGCAUUACGAUAUGGGGAUAGUACAUUACUAUCAAUACAUUUAUCAUUCUUGGAAGCGUCUCUGAUACUAAUUGUUGAAAUCGGUGUUUGUGCUGAUACCGAUUAUAUAAUACAGGAUCUAAAAUAGAACAAAAUAAUAUGAGAAAAAAAUAUUGGGGGAAGAAAAAAAAACCUAAACUAAUACUUUAUUAAUAAAAAGUAUUUAAUUACAUCCUGGAUGACACUCUCGAUCUUAUGCAGUUAUAUCUAUUUUGGCUUGUUUCUCUAAUAAAUCUAUGCCUUACUAUAUAUAGUUAUCAAGUCAUAACAGAUGAUAAAGUCAACUUUUAUUAUGAAUAAUUAUAAAUUUUACUCUAAUUACAUAAAUGACUUAAACUUAUCUCUAACAAUAUAUUAAUUAAGCUUGAAUUAUUAUUCCAAUAAUCAUAAGAAGUAGAGGAAAGAGGCCUCUGCAUUAGAGAGCAAUACUAUGUUUACAAUCCAAAAUAGUUUGUAAUUCUACAAUACGUUUAUGAACGGCCAAAUUUUUUUCACUGGUUUUAUCAUUUUUGUUUUCUUCUUUUUACUAAAAGAUAAAAAAGAAUGAGUAAACUUUAGGCACCUUGGCUGUAAAUUUAAGCUCUCUUUGAGAUUACGAGAAAUAUUCAGUUUAUUUUCGAACCUAAUUUCACGUUGUGCAUAUCGCAAUGAACGAGACUACUAAGAUAUCAUUUUAUACCGUGCUAUUAAAAAAUAAAAAAAAUAUUUUUAUAUAUUUCAUCCUAAUUUUGUUUUGCCUAACAAUAUUAGAUGAUUGCCAAUACCAAACGGACUAUUAGUACUUCUUUUAAAUUAUUAACUUUUUAAUAGUACAUUAACUGAAGAAAAUAUAUAGAUUAUAGAUUAAUUAAUUCACUGGUCCCCAGGAGUGCUAAUAAAUGUCUCACUGUCCCAUUAUAGCUCCCCAUUCUCAGUAGCUUCCAUUAUUCCAUACAAAAGGGCAAAAAGAGGAGAGAUUCCCCCCAACACCACCUCCCCACUUCUACUCAUCUCCAACAUAAAGAGAGAGAGAGAGAGAGAGAAGGCAUUUUAUUUUAUUUUAUUUUUAACUUCAAAGUACUGCAGGCUCUUCUUGCUAAACAUUCUGCCCAUCAAAAGUAGGCUGAAAAGGUAUGAGAACCCCCCUGAAUUAUAGGAUUUUUGGAAAUUGACCCCUCUAAUCUCAUGUUUUUGGUUUGCGUAGUGUGAACUUACGAACUGAUUUGAAUUGUUUUAAUCCGUCGAAAUGAAAACUUUGUCAAAUUUUAGUAAUAUUGUGUAGAACUAUGAAUAGCAGCUGAUAGAGUUGUACAAUUUGACGAGGUCUCCGGUUCAAUUGAAUUGAUCAACUUAAAAUCCAAACAUGUAAACACGAGAUAGUGCCAACAACAAAAGCGAAAAAAAAAAGAAGAAAAAGUUAGGAGCCAUCUUAAAAUGGCAUAUAGUUGAGAGGCUUCCGCAACAAUAUUUACAUCUAGGAUCCAUUUGUUUUACCGAGAUAAAGUUCAGAUUAAAAUAGACUUUCGGAUGGACUAAAAUUUAGAUAAAAGCUAUUUUUCUUUCGUUGUUUGUUUGUAAAAUUAUAGAAUUAAAAUUUUUUCAGUUUUGUUGUUUGUUUGGUAAAAAAUGCAUAACCUAAAAGUCAAAAGUGUAAAAGAUAAAUUAAUAUUUUAUUAUAUUAUAUAUAUUUUUUGUAAUUGACUUCGGCUUGAUGUGGACCAAAUUCAAGUACACUAUUUUAGAAAAUGAGUUUUGAUGGAAGGUGAAGUUACAGUAAAUCAAACAAAAAAAUAUUUACGAUCGAAAAUCACUUCAUCUUUUUACGGGAAACUUAUCAUAAAGUAUAAAAGUUGCAGUGGUGACACUAAUCAUAAACACAAUCUCACCCUUGCUUCCUCUGGCUCCUUAUAUUUAGCCUCAUUUUCCUAUUCCUCUCUCUCUCUCUCUCUCUCUCUCUCUCUCUCUCUCUCGCUUAGCUUGAGCUCUGUGGUUUCAGGGCUUCCUCUGUUAAUUUUGGCUUCUUCUCCUUGUCUAAAAAGCCUCCUUGUAAUAUAAACACCUCAAUUCCCCUCAUCUACCCAAUCCAUACCCAAAUCCCAAACCACCCAGAAAAGCACUUGUUGGAUCUCUCUUCUUGGACCUCUCUCUACCUAAAAGAAGAAGAAGAAGAAGAAGAAGAACAUGGCAUUGCAUGUUUUUGUUAUACUACUAGCCACAUUGCAAAUUCAUUCGCAGUGCGGCGUGGUGGUGGGCGUUACGGAGACGACGUGCGCCGACGCCGUGCCGAUGAGGCUGCGGCGGGAGGUGAUAUCGAUAACGGACUUCGGCGGGGUCGGCGACGGCCGGACGCUGAACACGUGGCCGUUCCGGAAGGCGGUUUACAGGAUCCAGCACCUGAGGAGGAGAGGGGGCACACUGUUGUAUGUUCCUCCUGGGAUUUGGCUCACUGGGAGCUUCAACCUCACCAGCCACAUGACCCUGUUCUUAGCAAGAGGAGCUGUUAUUAAGGCCACACAGGUACCCUUUGUUUUUCUCUCCUUUUGGAUCUUCGAAUUGCGAAACAUGUUUGUUUCACCGAAGAUGAAGUUCAGAUUAAAGUAAAUUUUCGGUUGAACUAUAAUUCAAUUGUUUUUUGUUUUUAUAACUGUGGAAGUGAAAUAUAUUUAACCAAUUUUGCUUAUGCUGCGUACGAUAAAAUUGGAGUUUAUUAUUUUCUGUGUUUGUUUUACAAAAAUUUGUUGAAUUUUUAUUAUAUCCGUGAUAAACUUGUCUCCUAUAUAGCUCUAUGCUCUUAUGACAUUAUUCACCCUUAUGUAACUUAAUAAAUAAUAAAUUAUAAUAUAAUAAAUAGAAAAAUAAUAUGACUGUAUUUCUAUACUAUUAAAAGUAUUAUUUAAAGCAACUAAAUUAUUUUUUUCAUACAUAAAUUGUAUAUAAUGCAUUUAUAAAACUCUAAAGAAAAAGAAAUACUAACCAAUUUUAUCACAUCAUAAGUAAAAAAGAAAAAAAUUACUAAAACAUAACUAAUCAAUUUUUAUUGUGUUUUAAACAUGGAAUCUAAAUAAAAGAGGGAUUAGCACAACAACUGAUAAAUAUACUUAGAUGAGAGAGGUGGUAACCCUAUCCUGAAAAUAAAUUUUUCUUCGGAAUAUUUUAUUAUUUCUUUUCUUACUUCUUUUUUAUGUAAUUGACUACGAUCCACUACUUUGGAUAGCUUGAGUUUCAGCCGUAAUUAUAUUAUGGUAAACCGAAUAGCGCAAAUGAUCAUUUACGGCAAAAAAUCUCUUCGCCCUUUUUCACUUUAAUCUGUGUUUCAGUAAUAUUCUUACGUUAAAAGUUAUAUCAGUUUAUAUAUUAUUCGUGAUCAUUGUCAUAAUAUGGCGACAAAUUUGAAAUAAUUAUUGAAUUCAUUUGUGAAAGUCCUCCAAAAUGAGUUGACAUAUCAUAUUGUAAUGGAAUUGAAAUGGGUUCAGGAUACAUGGAAUUGGCCAUUGAUGGAUCCAUUGCCAUCAUAUGGAAGGGGCAGGGAGUUGCCUGGUGGAAGGUAUACUAGCCUAAUCCAUGGAAAUGGGAUCAGUGAUGUGAUAAUAACAGGUAAAACUCUAAUAUUAUUGCUUUUCCUCAUGAGAAUAUAACAAAAUAGUUGGGCAAAGUUAUAAUUAGCACUAUUAGCAUCAUGAAUAACUUAGGUGCUACUUUUUCACUUCCUCAAAAAAAAAAAAAAAAAAAAAAAAAAGGAAAGAAAAGUAGACACUCACUUUAUGUUAUUACUAGUAAAAUACCCGCGCGAUACUGCGGAUAAAAAAAUAUUUUAUAAUAAAUUUUAGUUUUUUUAAUAUUUUAUAUAGUUUUAUAAAUCUAAUUAUUAGUUAAAUAAAAGUUAUAUAAAAAUAAUUUAAUAGUUAAAUCUAUUUAAAUAUAAAUCAUUAAAAUUGGUAUAUGCGCAAAGUAAAUUUAUACAAUAAUUUAUUUUAUAAAAAAUUAUAUGAAAGGAUUUGAGAUAAAUCUAUCAAUAAUUUUAAAAAAAAUCAAUAAAUAGAAGGAAAUAAAAUUGUAGAAGAUAUUAUUUAAUAAAAUUAAUUAUAUAUACACACAUACACUAUAUUUUAAAAUUUUACUCCUGAAACUUAAAUUCCGUAUUUUUUUAUACAAUGAAAUUUUAUGUGAUUUAAAUUUCAUCUAUCAAAUUAUAUUUAUUAUGCGAUUUAUUAUGUGUAUUUUAAUAAAUUAAUUAAUUAUAUUGUAUAAAACUAAUUAUUAAUAAAUUUUAAUUAUAUAAUUAAUUUCAUAGAGUUUAGAGAUUUAAAAUUUUAAACUUUGAAGCUUAAAAUUUAGAAAUAAAUAAUAUAAGUAAAAAAAAAAUUAAAAUUAAAUAUAAAAUAUAAAUAUAGAAAAUUAAAACUUUAAAAUUUGAAGUUUAAAAAGCUAAAAUUUAGAAAUAAAUAUUAUAAGUAAAAUUGAAAUUUAAAAUUUUAAAUAAAAAAUAUAAAAUUAAAAUUAAAACAUUAAAAUUUGGAAGUAUCAAAAAUUAUAUUUUGAUAUAAAAAAUUUAAAACUUUAUAUAUAUAUAUAAUAUAUAUUAUAUAUAUAUAUAUAUAUUAUAUAUAUAUAUAUAUAUAUAUAUAUAUAUAUAUAUAUAUAUAUAUAUAGGCUGGGGCUACUAUACUUUUAUGAGUAUAGACACCCUUGUACUCAUAAAUUUUUAACCGUUGAUCGAUGAGAUGUGUGGUUAGAUAGAGGGAGAGAGAAGGGGGGUUUGGGGGGACACGUGUCACCUUGUGGUCCCCCCAAACCUUCCUUUAAUGUAGUUAGAUAGAUUAUUAGAGUAAGACUACAUGUACACCUAUAAUACAGGUACAAAUUUUAUAUCCUAUAUUCUAUCAAUUUUUUUAAUACUAAAAAUUGAAAAAUAGUUUCUAAAUUUUAGAGUAUAAGAUGGACAUUCUACAACAGAGUAUACAAUAAUAUUUUUCUUAUUAUUAUUAGGCUAAAGUGUGAAAAAACCACCCUUUGCAUUUUCUCCCCUCCCAAUUAAAUAUAAAAAAUUGCAUUAAUUUUAACCUCGCAUUUUAUUCUUGUAUGAAUUAGUUCCAAAAACUUGGAAAGCAGAGGGAAAAAGUGGUGUCUGAAUCUUAAACAUUGCAAUAAAAAUGCAAAGAUACAGAUCUAAAACAUCACAAAUGAAAAAUUAGGGACUAAUUAAGCAUGUUUAUGUCCUCCUAAAAGGUGUUGAGGGCAUGCAUGCAUGUUGUUUAACUUACAAAUAAUUAAUUUCCUUUGCACAGGUGAGAAUGGAACAAUUGAUGGGCAAGGUGAAGUGUGGUGGAACAUGUGGAGACAAAGAACACUUCACUACACAAGACCAAAUCUAUUGGAGUUUAUGAACUCUAGAGAUAUUAUCAUUUCCAAUAUUGUAUUCAGAGACUCCCCAUUCUGGAAUAUUCACCCAGUAUAUUGCAGGUAAAGUGAGAAAAGUUAUGAUUCAACAAAUCAAUAUGGAUCUGUUGUUGGUUUUGGAGAUUCUAUAUACAAUGAUCAUUUGCAUGUUUAUAAUGUUUAAGAGUAUAAAAUAUUGAACCUAUUAUUAUUAUUACUAGAUAAACAUUAGAACAUAAGAGUUCUGAAUUUGUGUUUCAGAAUAAAAAGUAGAUCAAAAAGCUUUACACUUUAUCUUUCCAGAUGCAUUUUGAUCUUCAAAAUUUGGUUUGAAUUGUGACAGAUAAUAAGAUUCAUAUCUCUUCAGAAUCAUUACACACAUUUAAAAAAGUGGCAGUAAACGAAGCCCAUCCCCAAUUUCUGUGUCUGAGUUUUUUUUUUUUUUUUUUUUUUCUCUGCAGCAACGUGGUAAUAAAAUACGUCACAAUUUUGGCUCCGUAUGACUCUCCUAACACAGAUGGAAUUGAUCCAGGUUAAAAAUCAUUUCUCACAAAUUCUCUUAUUACUUAUUUUGAUAUAUGUUGUGGUAUACUCUUUAUUUGAACUCUAUACAACAAUUUCAUUAUAUGGCAUCUAUCAAUUUGAUUGCAUCGAAAAUUAAAUUGUUGCAAUAUAUCAAUUAAUUGCAACAAUUUGUGCUGAUUUAUUACAACGAUUUGCGAUCAUAAUGUUAGUUAUGAAAGGUUAUUAUUGCGUCUAAUACUUAUCAAUUGUAGUGAUAUUUAUUGUUGCAAAAGAAUGAAUUUCUAGUACAACGAGCGCAGAUUCGAGCUCCAACGUGUGCAUCGAGGACGCCUACAUAUCGACGGGCGACGACCUCGUCGCCGUCAAGAGCGGGUGGGACGAGUACGGCAUCGCGUUCGGCCGCCCGAGCUGGUCCGUCACUGUCCGCCGCUUGACGGGCUCCUCCCCCUUCAGCGGCAUCGCAAUCGGCAGCGAGGCGUCGGGCGGCGUGGAUGGCGUCCUCGUCGAGGACGUCCACCUCUUCAAUACUGGCAUCGGCAUCCACAUCAAGACCAACAUCGGCCGCGGCGGGUACAUCAGGAACGUGACGUUCGCCAACGUCGUCAUGCACAACGUCCGGAAGGGGAUCCGGAUCGCGGGCGACGUCGGGGACCACCCGGACGAGUACUUCAACCGGUACGCGGUCCCGAUGGUCGACGGCGUGACGAUUCGGAACGUCUGGGGGCAGAACGUGCAGCAGCCAGGGUCGAUUGAAGGGAUAAAAAACGCGCCGUUCACGAGGAUAUGCCUAUCGAACGUGAAGUUGUGGGGGGCGGGGGGGUGGCAGAGCAGCGCGCCGUGGCGGUGUGCGGAGGUGAGCGGGGCGGCAUUCGGGGUUCGGCCGUGGCCCUGUGCUCAGCUCGCCACCACUCUCACGGGAGGCAUAUGCUCUGGUGCCGUGUAGAAUGUAAUUGUGUGUUAUAAGAGCGUAGUCAGAUGAGUUGUUUUCUAUCGGAUUGAUCUUUUAAUGUGGGGGAGGAGAUUGUUUUAGGUGUUUGGUGGAUUGAUUGUUUAGCGGAGAGAAUUGCUAUUGAGAUACCAUAUUGUGAACGAUGAGAGAUGCGUUGACUUGGUAUCAGGUCAGCGUAGAGAGCAUCAACAUGUCUUGAGUUUUUUAACUCAUUUGAGCCUGCAUGUUUGAUUUUUAAACAGUUGCGAUUUUAAGCACAAAUAAGUUAACUUAUUAUUAUUAUUAUUAACAACAUAAGAGCAAACACAAAUACUAAUGGCGUAUAAUGCCAACUAGAACCUUUAUAGCAACAUGAAUUGUACAAAUACCAAAUAGAGACAAACUAAACUAAACGAGCAGCUAUUUAAAUUUAAAUUCUAAAAUUCAAAUUAUUUUUUCACAAAUAUAACAGUACCUGAUUUUCAGCUUUUGGUGGUCAGAAGCGGUUUACCAGCGUCCAAAACCACUUCAGAAAACCGCCUUUCCCCUUCUUCUCCUUCUUCUUCCUUCUCCCUUCCCCUUCCACUUCGUCCUCUUCCUCCUCAUCAUCAUCCGAAUCCGAAUCCGAGUCCGAGUCCGAGUCCGAGUCCGAGUCCGAAUCCCACGGCUUCUUCUUCGCUCUCUCUCCCUCCUUUUCCUUCGCUCCAUCCUCCUCCUUCGGAAUCCGCCCCAUCACCUCCGCCGACCUCCGAUUCGCCUUCGCCCCCGCCACCGCGCGCUCCGCCUCCUCCUCCUCUUCCUCCGCCGCCGGGAGCGCGGCCGCGUCUACGCCGCAGCCGCCGCGCCGCGGGGCCUCGAUCUCUUCGUCCCCGCACCCGCCGAGGAGGCACGAGAGCGAGGAUGGCCGGAGACGGCGAUCGGCGACGGCGACGGCGGUGGGAUCAUCAUCCUCCGCCGCCGGCGGUAGAGGCUUGGCCGCCUCGAGAUCCGCGCGCUUGUCCGGAUCCUGAUCGGCGACGGAGGGAUCGGAUUCGCCGCGGGGGAGGAGGAGGAGGAGGGUGGGGGAGGCGAGGGCUUGGAGCGAGGAGGCGGAGCCCUCGGCGUCGCUGGGGAGUGGGUCGAUGGUGCGGCGGGCGAGGGAGAGUACGCAGAGGGAGGAGACGACGACGACGACGAAGACGACUAUCGAUCGAGUGGCCGCUAUGCGCGACAUCAUUCCGGGAGUAAGCGGCGAAUAACGGCGACUCAAUUUAUUCCGGGCGGAAUAAGGUAACACCGUAAUCUCGGAUAAAGGAUAGUAGAAACCAAAUAUAAAGAGAAAUGUCAAAUGAGGAGCUUCUCAGCACAAUUUGACAUUCAAACUAGAUAAAACUUCGGUCGAAUCCCCUCCGUUUGGUUGGGGAUUAAGGGGUGGAAUAACUCAUUAACUCCCAUUUUAUUUCCAAACACUUAUAAAAGUGGGUGGGGUUAACUAACUCCACCUCAAAUGGGUUAUUCCGGAUUAGCUAACCCCACCUAAUCCCACCAAAUCCCAAUCAAAUAUUAUUUUCUAUUCAUAAUAACCCACUAUACUUCUUAUCCCACCUACUCCAACCAAACACUAUUUUUCACUAUCCUGGACUAACUCCAACCCCCAACCAAAUACAAAAAUAUUCUAAUCCAACCUUAACCUUAAACUAACCCUAUUCCUGAAAUAACUAGUUUUUCCUUAACCCCAAAUCAAACGAUAAAAAAGUUAAUUCAUGGAAAGAAAAAUUAUUAUUUUUGCUACUCAAUAAGAUUGUUGGGGAAUUUUCCUUUGAAAGUUUUUUUAAACUCUAACCGACUAUUCUUAGUAUAGAAGACAAAGGACUUAAUAGUAGAUACCUAAAAUUUUUAAAUUCGAAAUCUAAUUAAUUUAUAUUUUUAUUUAAAUUUAUUUUUUUAAAAUGAUAAAAAAGGUGAGCAGCAUACUAUCGUUCUAUCAAAAAAAUAAAAACUUAUUGCAGGAGUUUAGUUCUGUAGACUAAUUCAUCAUUAGCGGAGAAGCCGAUUUUUUAAAUAAAUAAUUUUUUAAAGACUUUUCUGAGAGAUUAUACUUUCAUAGAAUUUUCUGUCAAAUCUUAAAAAUACCGUCCACACCCUCAUAAACGUCAAAAUUAUUUUCAAAUCCUUCUACUAGUAAAAAAUUUAUACAAAAUAAAUUAAUUUUGAAAUUCCGUUUUACUAUCAAUAAGCUAGAAACUUGGUAAAUUUAUCAAUAGAAAGCAAUUUUUAUAAUUUUAAUAAAUGUUUUUGAAGAAAAAGACUAAUCAAAUACCCAAAGAGUGCCUAUGUUUUCUAUCUUUGUUUGGUCCUUGUACCUAAUUUCAAAUAGGGUAAAUCCCUGUUUAAUAAUAAAAAAAAAAAACCAAAGAGUUAUACGAGAGAAUUAAAUAAAUGUGAGUAUGGUUGGAAUCAAACUCGGGACUAAGGAUGCAAAAGGGACGGAUCUGAAAGUAGGAGGAUCCUCCACCUCCUGCUUUAUUUCUUGUCGGAUUGGGUCGAAUUCGGGGUGGAUUAAUUUUAAUUUUAUUUUUAGUCCCCAUUUAUAGCUCCAUCAAGAGCGAAUAAAUACGAAAGCGAAUUUUUGACGGAUCGGGAUGAAUCAAAGGAAGAAAGGGGUUUCCCGCUCCCGCUCCAUUAACUUGGCCGAUCGGAGCAGAUUUGAGAUGAGUUAUAUUUUUUUUAUAUUUUUUUGUUUCCAUUACCAUUCGUAGCAGAAGCUUCACCGGUCCGGAUCCAUUUGCAUCCUUACUUAGAACCUUCUAAUCUGACAUUUACUUUUGUAACGCCCCCAAUAGUCCCACAUCAGAUCGGAUAUUGAUUCCGAUCAGUUUAUAUGAGGCUUACACGCUAGUAAUAAUAACUGGGCUUAAGUAUUUUGGGCCGGUGGUUUGAGUUCAACGAGUUAUUAGUGCUAGCGAGUCGGAUCGUUGCAUUUGGUAUCAGAGAUGAAUACGAGCCGGAAGUGUGAAAGCUAAGUACUAUGCGGGACAAAGUGCUACACCAACGGGUUUGGUUGGAGCCACCUCUAGAAUCUCACAUCGCCGGAUAAUUCUGGUCCUGAUCUGUCUGUCUGUGAUCUGAUUUGGAUCCGACGAGAAUGUCAGCCGGAUAAUUCUGGUCCUGGUCUGUCUGUCUGUGAUCUGGUUUGGACCCGACGAGGACGUUAGAGUCUAAACAGGGGGAGUUUGUAACACCCCUAAUAGUCCCACAUCGGGUGGAAUACUGAUUUCGAUCGAUUUAUGUGAGGCCUACACGCAUUUUGGGCCGGUGAUUUGGGCCCAACAAAUUAUUAUUGUUGGCCGAUCGGGUCGUUGCAAUUGGUAUCAGAGCCAAAUACCAGCCGAAAAUGUGUGGCGAUUCUCGGUUGAGCCAGGGUCUGAAAGACAAGACCAAGACCUGGAUGACAAGGUUCACAUCGCCUGGUGAUCUAGGACUAUGUGUGUCACACCCCAAUAAUCCCACAUCGGAUUUUCGGCCUGUUGCAAUUGGUAUCAGAGCCAAAUACCAGCCGAAAAUGUGUGGCAGCUCUUGGUUGAGUCUUGAAAGACAAGACCAAGAUCUGGAGGCUAUAUGUGUCACACCCCAAUAAUCUCACAUCGGAUAGAAAUAUAGAAAUGGAGAUGUGAUUGUCUAUAUAAUAGACUUAGACACUAGUUAUAAUAACCGGGCUUAAAUAUUUUGGGUUCAACGAGUUAUUAUUGCUAGCGGGUCGGGUCGUUGCAACUUUAAUAAACUAAGUUAGCUGGGGUGGCUUACUUGCUAAGAAACUCUAUUAUUUAGUAUUUUGCUAAUUUGUACUUGGUGUAGAUACAAGCUAAAUGGUGAACGAGAUGAAAAAAGAAAAUAUUUCGUGAGAAGUUCCGCGUAAUUAACUCAGAUUGUACAUCGUACCCGAAAAAAUAAAUAAAUAAAAAAUUAAGGCUGGUCAGUGACGCAAGCCUCAUAUCUCCAAUUCAUUACAAUAUAUACGGACUAUAUAUCGCUAUUUAGAUAAAUGUUUUGAUGAUCUAAAUCACCCAUAAUUUAUUGGUAAGUUGCAGAAGGUCAGAGGUGUACGCCUCGUAUUUAGUUGUGUGUAAAUUUAGAAUUUGAGCCUUAAGAUCUGCGGGAAAUACAGCAAUUGAUAGCGCUAGUAUAUCAGCCACAAAAAAUUGUGUCAUGAACUGCCGCAAGCGAGUAGAUGAUUGUAGAAUUUGACGACACUUUUAAGGCAUGUUUGGUUCACCUAUUCUAGAUUAUGGAAUCGAAAUGAUAUUUAUUGAUUUUGAUAAUUGUUGUUUGUUUUAUAAAAAUCGAAUUUCGAUUCACUUUCUACUUCGGAAUCGGAAUGGCCAAAUCUAUUUUUGGUCCAAUCUGGCUUUGAAUUCCGGAUUGGUCAAUUCCAAAAUAACUAUUCAAAAUCUUCUUUCAGCACCUCUUUUCUCUCCUUUCAUCAUUUUCUCUCUUGUAAUCAAAUUCCUCUAUUAAAAAUUUUAAAUUUUCAUUCCGAUAAUAAAUCAAAUAUUUUUGGAUGAUUCGUCAUUUUAUUUUUCAUUCUAAACAAAUUUUAUUUUAUUUUUUUUAUUUCUAUUUAAAUUAUGAACCAAAUAUGUCCUUAACCUCCAUCAUAAAAAACACAAUCACUAUAUAGUCUCUUUACUGUUGUGAGGCUUUGGGUGUAAUAUAUGUAGAAUCUUUAGUACAGGCUUUUGAGUUACAAAGCCUAUGGGCAUUGUCCAAAAUGGAGGGGGUUAAAAAGUUAGAAAGUGGAAAUAAUUUUUUUAGCUCAAACGAUUGCGGUCAUGUGUUAAUUUUGUUUCCAUUCUUUUUUAUAUUAAAAUCUAAAAGAAAUUAAAUCCUAUAGAAAAAUAUUAUAAUCUUUAGAUAAAAAUAAAAGUGACACAUAAAAAAAAUGACACGUGACGACGAAUUGGAGCUUCCCAACAAGGCAUUCCACUAUACGGUAAGCCCAAAUAGGCCAUAACUAAAAUUAGUGUAUCUGGUGAGAAAGAUGUGAAUAUUAUAUUUGUUCUAAUGGGCUUGGAUUCCGGGAAGAACGGACCACAACAAGUGAGUCAGAAUUGAGCCCAUCUAAGGCUGACCCAUUAGCUUAACUCAUUCCAUCAUCUGAUUUUUAACCCUGACCUUUUUAAAGAAUAGUAAUUUUGGUAACAAUUAAUUGUGCUUUAUCUUAUCACAUCAAGAUAUAUAUAUCCAAAUAAAGAUGUUAUCACAUCAAGAUAUAUAUAUCCAAAUAAAGAUGUUGAACUAAGUGAAUAUAUUGGAUCCAAAUUAUGCUUCUCUUAUUUGCCUUUAACUAGAACAUCAACUUUGUCGCCAGGGAGAGAGACACGACACAGUAGUACAAUCCGAAAACAACACGAAGCUACAGAAAAAAAAAAUCAAAAUUAAUUAAUAUGGUACGAAAUUGUCUUAUUCAAAAGUGACACAACAUUAACAUUAGAAGAUAUGAAACAAACUUAAAAAAGUAUUAAAAUCGUAUUAAGACAUCUAGACAAUCUUCAAACUAAUACAACAAACAUGUUCGUCGCCAAUUCGAAUUUUUAUCCCUAAAUUCUGCAACCAAUAUAGCAUGCACUCAAAAUUCGACCCAAUAUCUUCCAUUUGUAGGUUGUCUCAGCUUUCCAUUUGUGCAUUGAGGUUACAACCCAGUUUGGUAUCCAAAAACAUUAUCCGCUGAUAACUUGUACGCUGUUAGAAUUUUAUUUUAUGGCUGCGAGCUAAGAGUUUGAUUUUUGCUCUUUGUAAUGCCUCGGCAAUUAUAUCCCUAGGGUUUGCUAAUGGGAUUUGGAGUUUAGAAAGGCAUUUUGAGAAAAGAAGUGAAAAUUUUAAAUAAUAGUAAAGUAUAUAUAUGAGCAAAAUCUCCCAUUUAAUAUUUAUAUCCAAAUGAGGCUUACGAGUAGAUGAAUUGGAUCUGGCGUAUCACACACAUGCAUAAUCCCAUAUCCAUAGCAUAAUGGUUCUAUACGUUUGUCUUUAUUACUCAAAAUGCAACAUUGUCAAUGGUCAAAAUGACCCUCAUUCUCGCUGUCACCAUUCAAAGAUUCUACGCUUCAUCUAUAUUUAUUUAAACUCGUCUCUUGGACUUUUAAAGAAAACUUAAGCUUAGAUUUUCAUAUCCAACAGUAGUUUAACACACAAAGUCCUCUCACAAGUCGACUUAAGAAGUUAAUAAAGAGAUCUCCUUAGCAACUACUGUAAGAUCUUAAAGACAUUGACAUCUUUAAUUAAGGAUGAGAACAAAAUAGAAAAGUCAUACUACUAAACAAAAAACAUGUUCAGUUUCUAACUAUUACAACACCAUGCUAAUUAAUAUUAUCUGUAUCUAAGAGUUCGUUCUAAUGACACAUACAUAGUGUGCUAAUAGAAGAGAUUACUGAGCGGAAAAAAAAAAAUUUUGAGUUAUGUUAAUAAACGGCCGAUGUGAGAAUUGAAUAUCUAGAACCGGCUCUAGCUAGCAUGUAGUACAAUGUUAUCCAGAAGAUCGAUCUGAUGAUAAUAGACGAGGGUCAUGAUCAUAUUGUAAUUAACUCAUACUACUACUACUUCGAUCUUCUUCAAUGCAUACAUCUCUUGAUGUGAAUCAAGCUAUCUCCUGGUUCUUCUCCACCAGCCUCACCUCUUUAGAUGAUCGUAAUACGCUCGCCUGUUGAAGAGAUCAUAAACACCGUAAUAACAAGUUAACAAUAUAGAUUGCAUCAACAACAUACAUGACACUCAUGAGAAAAAAAAAAGGUUCUUUAGGGCAAGAAACAUAUAUAAUCAGAAUAAACAUGCCUGUUCUUGGGUUAUUUCAACAGCGAAGGCAUCGAUGAUUGCUAAGGAGGAGAUUUUCUUGUAGGUGUUCGGUCGGAGAAGCUCCGCAAGCAACCUGUUGUGCUUGUUGCUUAGGUAGGCAUAGAGAGUCUCAUUCCCUUUCUUUGACCUGCAAAGAGAGUUACUACAAACUGCGAGCUUCUGAAACAGGAAACACAAGAAAUGCAACUGAUAUAUAGAGGAGAUGGAAAAUGUAGAUGCGUUUUACGAACCCAUCUGCGCGCAGACGAUUGUACUCAGGAUCAAAGUUCAUGAAGACAUAAUAUACUUCCAUUGGUGGCUUUGCCAAAAUUUGACACAGGGUAGAUGUUUCUUCUCUCUCCCUCCUCUUUAAGUUGGGUUGUUACCUUUGUGUGUAUGCUUGCUAUUUAUACUACUAGCUAGGAGGAUACUGUAAAACAAUCAUUUUUAAAUUUAACACUUCCCCUCACAUCUGGACUCGAGACCUUUUUUUUCCGCAAGAUCCAUGACGUGGACUUGAAUUAAAUAAGAGGGAAUUAAUAAUACUAGGAGUCUGACAUGACUCAAACUUAGAAUCUCCUAUUCUGAUAUCAUGUUAAAUAACUGUUGUACUCUACAAGUUUAAGUCGUUAGAAAACGGUAUUUAUAUAUUUUUAUAUUUAACAGAUACUAAUGCUAGCAGCUGGUGAUGUAGAUAUCUUUUUUAUUUUCCUCAACAAAUUAUUAAAUAGACACCAGUCUUAAUUACUGGGAUAGUUGAACAUUGACACCAUUGCCCCUUCAGUGCUUUUGGAUUAGAGAGAGAGACAGAGAUGGAAUAACUCUAGUAUAAAAGUAUUUAGACCUUGAUAAUUACUAGUUUCAAGUAAUAUUAAUGUACUAAAUCACAUCUUUUGCGUACAGCUCUUCAUGUAUACCUUUUUUUUUUAUCUGUUUCUUUUUUGUUUUUUUGUUUUUGUUUUUUUUGAAUGGUCUCUUUCUACCUAUGAUCUCAUAAUUAGAAAUUUUCAUGUUUGUUCUAUAUAAUAAAGAGUUUGUUUGCCUAAUCUUUUGACUAAUCAUAGCUAGUUGAUACCGACCGUUCCUAGAGCAAGUGGCAAAGGGCUUGGUGGUUGGUACCCGAGACUCAAGUUCGAAUCCUAAUUGAUUCACAUUUCUAGCUAAGUAUAUUUCUAAAUGAAAUAAACGAAGCGGGUAGCGUGCUACCUAUCUUUCAAAAAAAAAUCAUAUCUAGUUGAUUGUAAGAAAAUUCUUUUCCUCGUUUGGAUAUCAAAAUCCAAAGGGUUUUGAUUUUCAAUGAGGGAGUCCUCUCUUUAUGCAUUUAACUUGACCAAAACAACUGAUCCUAGCAUAAAUGGCAAAGAGUGUAAUAGUUGGUAUCAGAGAUUUCAAGUUCAAACCCUACUUGCUUUAUAUUUUUAGUGAAGUUCAUUUCUAAAAGAAUUGAAUGAAGUGGAUAUCAUGCUGCAUUUCUUUUUUAAAAAAACUACCACCUACUUUAUCUAGUAUAGUUGGUUAAGGGUUGGCAGUUGGCACCUGACAUCCCAAAUUCGAACUCUAAUUACUUCACAUUUCUAGAGAAUUUAUUUCUUAAAAAAAAUAAUGAAUGAAAUAAGUAACUAUGUUUCGAGAAUAGCAAGAUUUUUGUAUUCGAGUUCGAGUGUUCAAACCGCUACAGGUCUUCCAAAAUAUUGUUCUUAAUUGUAUAUGAUUGGUGUAUUGAUAUACAUAUAUAAUGUGAAAAAUUUUGAUUAGUUUAUAUAUAUAAUUCAAUUUAUGUACCGCAUCAGUCCACGUAGCUACAGAUCAACAACAUCAUAUUCAUUAAUUUCAUAAAAUAUUUGUUUUGGAUUAGCUGUAAAACAUGCACGUACUGAAGAGAAGCACGGGUAUGUACGUACGUUGAAGGGGUCAGAAUUUUCAUGCACGUAAUCUUUUGCAGCAAAGAGAUAUCCAAAUGGAAUGACUCACAGGUGGAUCGAGGAGGGCCCCUACAUAAUCUUAAUUGGUUACAAAGAGGACGAGGGCUUAUAUAUAUUUUCAUGCGUUUAUAUUGUUAGCUAAAAUAGAUCUAACUUUUUAUCUUAUGAAAUCGUGAGAAAAAAUUUAGAAGACUAGUUAACAAAUUAAAAUUGAGUGGGAUUACUGUCCACAAUAAACCUAACAGUAAGAGAUUCAAUAAUAGAUCCAACGUUCAUAAGGAUUGAGUUAGGUCGAAGUCCAAAAGUACUGUAGCGGAGUUCGUAAAUGCGAUGAAUAUGUCAUUUUCAUCAAAUUGUAUUUCUUGAAUAAUUAAUUAGCACUUACGAUCCAUACACAUACACACAUACACAUAUAUAUAGAGUUGAACUGGAAUACUAUCGGUAGCAAACAGGCUCCGUUGCCACCAAUUUAUUUUCGAUGAUGGAGCCUCCAAAUCGACGAUCUGUACCUUUGAACAUGAUUUAUACCAUUUGAAGCAUGUAGAAACCGAAUUUCAUAUUUUUCCAAUAUUGUUCUCUCGUCCAUCAAGUGGACACAAAAAUGAAUGGCUGAAAAAUGAAUAUCCUUUAAAAAGUGAUGAUAGGAGUUUCGUAAUCAAGAUCAAGAGUAUAGAUCUUGUUUUAAAUAGUUCAAAAAAUUUUCUAAUAAAAAUUUAAUUGAUUUGGAUAGCUUUACACCAUUAAAUGAGAAAACGUCUCGUAUCGAUUAUUAAAAUUACAGAUUUUGAAAUUUUUUGAUCACUAGGCCAAUAUUGUAAAAAAUUUGAAAUUUAAUUUCUACACACUUCAAAUGGUAUAGAUCACGAUCAUUAAAAUUACAGAUUUUGAAAUCUUUUAAUCAUUAGGCCAAUAUUGUCGAAAAAAUUUGAAAUUUGAUUUCUACACACUUCAAAUGGUAUAGAUCAUAUUCAAUAAUACCGAUCAUCGAUUUGAAAACUUCAUCAUCGAAAACAAAUGAAUGACAACUGUUUAUUAUCAAUAAUAUUCUAUUUCAACUCUCUCUCUCUCUCAUAUAUAUAUAUAUAUAUAUAUAUAUAUAUAUAUAUAUAUAUAUAUAUAUAUAUGGAGCCUAAAUUUGUGGGCUAAAAGUGAUCACAUGUUAACUUUACCUCACGAAUUUUGUAAGUGUAGGAGAGGCGGACUAGGUCAACAAUUUUACGUCGAUCCAAGCAAUCUAAUGCUUUUUUCUUUUUUUUUUGAGAGAGAGAGAGAGAGAUAGGUAGCACGCUACCUAUUUCGUUUAUUUCAUUUAGAAAUAAACUUAGCUAGAAAUGUGAAUCAACUAGAAUUCGAAUUUGAGUAUAGAGUGCCAACCACCAAGCCCUUUACCACUUGCUCUAGGGACGGUCGGUUCAAACAAUCAAAUGCUGAUUGUAUAUAAUUGGGACAUAUAUAAAAGUACAGUUGUUCCUAGCACAAUUGAUAUAUAUAACUGUUUUUGGUUGAAUAGUAGAUAUAUUAAAUUUGAUCAUUAUUUAUUGACUAAAUUUGAUCACACGCAAUUCGUGCAGAAUCAUCACCCUCUUAAUGGAUACGAGUAUAUUUUGAUUGAUAUAAUUUAUAUCCAAGCUUCUCAAACUGCUUCACGAAGUCGGGACCAGAAAGCUGUACCGAAAGUAGAACAUCAAUCAGCUGAUCCUACGAUCCGACCAGAAAAUCGAAAUAGACUGCAUAUAUCACUUCUGUAUAAGCUCUAGCUCAAUAAGACUUACUCUAAACCUGAUAAGUAAUAAAGAAUUUGACAAGAAAGGUAUUUGAGGAGAUUCAACCUCAACUCUUGGCUUUUUAAUUCUUGGAAGAUACCUACUCCCAACUCCCUAUAUUUGUUCUACAGUUUGCAAGCUGGAAAUAGCUACCUAACCAAACCCUCUUCUCUUAUACCAAGUCCAAAUAAAUAAAUAAAUAAAUAAAUAAAUAAAUAUAUAUAUAUAUAUAUAUAUAUAUAUAUAUAUAGAGUAUAUAUAUAUAUUAUGAUAUAUAUAUCCCAUGCACGUAGCAUCACCACCUGCACAGUUGGGAUUAGAGAUCAUGAGAUCUCCGUACUAAGAUUCUGUUGUUAAUAUAUUAUUUGGGGGCUGAUUUCAACAACCUGCUAUUAUAAUAUUAUAUAUAGUGGUACUAAUAUACUACUUAUAACUUAUUAUUUAGAGAUGGAGACGAGACAGACGAGAGAGAGAGAAGAGAGAGAGAGGAAGAGAGAAGAGAUGAGGGCUUGGUAUACAAGGAGAAGAGAAUAAAUAUCGUUUAGGACGGAGACCUGUGUUGCUACGGAGUUGUUUUCAAUGAUGCGGCUUCAAGUAUUCGAGCGAUCGGGCCUCGUUUAGAUUUGAGUCGUCGCUGGGAUAUUGAUGAGUAUUUGAAAUUAUUAUUAGACUUUUGGCAUUUUUUCUUAUCAAAUGAGUAGGGUAGUCUAAACAUGACGCCUGAAAAUAAAAAUUUUCUAAAACCAAUGAUGAUAAAAGACUUGAAUUUAAGAUCAGACGAGUAUGAUCUAUAUUCUACAUAGUAAAAGAAUUUUCUAUAAAGAUAUUUCUGCCAUUUGGAUUGUUUUAUACCGCGUUAAAUUCACAAAGCAUCACAUCUACAUUAAAAUUGUAAAUUUGAGACUUCUUGAUUACUACCAAUGAUGUCGAAAAAUUAUGAAAUUUCAGUUAUCAAUAUCAUUAAUAUGAUUAGAUUAAGGUUGUCUGGAGGUCUUGAGUGAUCGCUGCAUUUGGAAGCCGCUUUUUUGGAUCUAUCGGAACAAGUUGGCUAUGCAGGAAGCCCUGUGCUUACUGAUUCGUAUACCGAUUGAUACCCCCCCCCCCUCUCUCUCUCUGUUCUCGGUUAUAUAUAUAUACUCUCUCUCUAUAUAUAUAUAUAUAGAGAGAGAGAGAGAGAGAGAGAUAUAGAGAGAGAGAGAGAGAGUUCGGCUACUAUACUCUUAUGAGUCUAGAGCCUCUUGUACUAAUAAGUUUUUAGCCGUUAGAUCUACUCUUUAAUCAUUUUCACCCGUUAGAUUAUACUAUUCAACCAACCACCCACUUAGUCCUAGGAGGCCCACUAUCAACUUAACCGUAACCACUCUCAUCCUAACCGCACAUUUUUUCAUCCGAGCGGUCGAAAAUUUAUGAGCACAAAGGGCUCUAAACUCAUAUGAGUUUAGUAGCCCCAGCCUAUAAAAAUAAAAAUUCUAUAAAAAGUGGUGAUAUAACACUAAAAUUUUUUAUCAGAAAUAUUGAUCUUGUUGUAGAUAGUAUAAAAAAUUUUGUAUCAAAAUUUUAUCUGAUUUGAAUACUUCUACACCGUUAAACUUAAAAACGGUAGAUAUCAACCAUUAAAAAUUAUUGAUUUUGAAUCCUUUCGAUCACUAGGCAAAUGAUAUCAAAAAAUCGCAAAAAUUAUUUUCUAGAAACUUCAAAUACGCUAGAUCAAGUCUAACGGAGCUGGUCGCCAAGUCGAAAAUUCCAUCAUCGAAAACGGCCUCCGUGCUCCUGAGAGCAUAGCAGUCCUGCUAUAUAUAUAUAUAUAUAUAUAUAUAUAUAUAUAUAUAUAUAUAUAUAUAGUAUACUUAGUAUACUAUCGGUGGCAUGGAGAGCUCCGUACUACCAAGUUGUUUUCAUUGAUGCGGUUUUCAAAUCGACGAUCGGCUCCGUUAGACUUGAUGUAUAUUAUUUAAAGUAUUUGGAAACUAAAUUUCAUAAUUUUUCGGCAUCAUUUACCUAUCAAACGAGUAGUUUAAAAAUAAACGACUGAAAAUAAAAAUAUCAUAAAAAUAAUAAUAAAAAACUUGAAUUUGAGAUCAGAGGUACUUAUCUUACUCUAAAUAGUGAAAAAUAUUUUCUAUAAAAAUUUCAUCAGAUUUGAAUUAUUUUACACCAUUAAAUUCACAAACGCAUCACAUCUAGCAUUAAAAUUGUUAAUCUUGAAAUCUUUUGAUUACUAGCCAAAUAAUAUCGAAAAAUUAUAAAAUUUAGUUUUCAAAUACUUUCAAUAGUGUAGAUCAAGUUUAACAGAGCCGAUCGUCAAUUUGAAAACCACAUCAUUGAAAAUAACUUGUCCUUACUACCGAUAGCAUACUAACCUAGCUUUAUAUAUAUAUAUAUAUAUAUAUAUAUAUAUAUAUAUAUAUAUAUAUAUAUCAAUGGCAUGCCCUUCAUGCAUGGGUCGGCAGCCGUACAACAGGAUUAUGAGAAUUUCAUUAGCUGUAAUGGUCUACAAUCAGUGAUAGAUACCAUAGUUGAUAAAGGAAUGCCUAUUAGUUUACUUAUCAAAAACACAAAAAAGUGGUAAGGUCAUCAUGAAUAAUAAUAAUACUAAUAAUAAUGGUUGAAUAAUUGAUACUAAUCAUUAAUUCUAAAAAUUUGAGUUAUUAAAAAUAUACAAUCAAUUUACUUAAGUGUACAAAUACAACGUUUACAGGUCUCGAUUGUGAUUCGACCUAAUUAGUAUUACGCCACUUCGAAUAUAAUUCGAUCCAAUUCAGUCUCAUGCAAUUUCAAAUGUGACUCAGUUCAAUCUGACCUUUCGUCAAAAAGAGCAGAAUGCUGAUCAAUUUAAGCUAAUAAUAAUAUAAAUCAUGAGUCAAUGGUUUUUUUUUUUCGCCCAGUUCGAGAUCUGUGUUGUCUCACUUUCGUAACUUAAUUCACUUUUUCAAUAAAUAAGAUGGUAGCAUGCUAUCUUUUUCUAAAAAAUAAUAAUAUAAAUGGAAGUACAUAAUUAGACAGCGCGAGAUUGUUGACAAAUUCGUGUGGUAGUCACGCAGNAAACUUGCCAAUCCAAAAAGUUUAGGUGCAUCAGAUCGAGUUCUCUUUUCCUUCCAAGGAGAGAUCGACAUGCAUGUAUAUAUAUAUAUCAUUCAUUCACAGGUAUUGUUGACUCCUUGCAUGUAGACUGAUUUUUUAUACAUAUUCAUUUAAAAAAAAAAAAGUCGGUACCGACACAUCAAAAGAAUAUUAUGUUGGAUCUUUAACGCUAACCAUUAAUCUCAAAAGUUCGAGCUGUUAAAAAUAUACAAUCAAUUUACUUAAAGCGUAUUAAAUACGAUACUCAUGGAUCUUGAUUUUGACUUAAGCCGAACUAGGCUCAUACCGUUUCGAACAUGAUACGGCCUAAUUCAAUCUCACGCAAUUUUGAAUGUGGCUCGACCUAAUUUAGCCUCCCGUAGUAAUAGAAUGUUGGACCAUUAAAGCCAAUAUAUGAUGUACGAGCAGCUAGCGAUCUGUGAUAUCGGAAGGGAAAGUGAAAAUGCAAUCACACGCCAUACAUUUUUCAAAAAAUAGUCGUCGAUCAGCAACGAUCGUCGUUGUCGUCGCCGUCGCCGUCGCUGUUGCCGCCUGUGGGCACGAUGAUGACGUACAUUUCUGUUUGUUCAUCAAAUCUGCGCCGUUCAUUUUGUUGAGCGCAUUGAAACAAAUCAACAAUCGCGUUAUCUCGGACGGAGUCAAAGCGCGCGCACGAGAUGGGGGGGGGGGUAAAAAAGAUCCAAGGAAUACAUACAUUAAUACAUAUACGGGACCGAUCAAGCAAUGGGGUCAAAUAAUAAUAAGCUUGAGAGAGAGCACAUGGAGAAAGAACCUGUCGCGCGACCAAACCGGACCCCACCGAGAGCAAUGAAUCGUACCCACGGUUUAAUCCGUAGGUCACUAGGCCACAAACGUGGGCUAGUUUUAUUGGGGUGCACCACAGCCCACAGGUGUUACUAUUCCAUAAGCGACGAAAUGCAUUUGAGUCAUUUGAAUUAACUAAUUACGUCAGCCAUUUACGUAUCUUUAGAACUCGUUUAACUUCUUUUACUAUUUUACAUAUGGAAGGAGGUGGUGGGUUGCAUAUAACUUUUUCGUCUAAAAUGUUUAUUUAACACUAAAAAAUUAAAAGUAAUUUUUUGUUAUCCAUUAUUUGACCUAAAUGUAUCUAUUCUGUUUAGUGACAGAAUGUAUUCGAACGGUUUGAAUUAACUUAUUACGAAAGCCGUUCACUCAUCAUCAGGUCUUGUUUGACUUCUUUUGCUAUUUUACAUAUUGGAGGAGGUGGUGGGUGCUUGUAAUUUUUUCGUCUAAAGUGUUUAUUUAGCACCAAAAAAUUAAAAAUCGAAAGCAAUUAUUUUAUCCACAACUUGACCGAAAUUUGUAGCAAAUUAAGCAACAAUGAUUAAAAAAAAAAAAAAAAAAAUGUCGUUGGCUGAUAUGUCAAAUUAUAAAAUAAAAAAAAAAGAGCAACAACACUGAAAAGAGACUAAAAAGAGACGUUCGCCUCUCUAUAGCAGUUUAAGGAUUUGGCACUGAUUUGGAGGCUUAAAAUGACAACUGAGAUUAGAGAGCUUAAUUAAAAUCCUAGCAAAAGUGAAAAUCUUUGUAUGGUUGGUCCUUAAGAAGAGAACUCUUAUAGCAAACAACCUUCUAAAGAGGGGGUGAUACGGGAUCCAUCAUGUGUAGUUUUUGCUGAUGACGAUAAGACGGUUGAUCAUCUUUUUUUCAAGAUGUGUUUUUAGCCUAUUCCUACUGAUAUGAACUCUAGACGAGGACUACGAUCCGAGAAAUGGGGUGAACAUCAGAACACUCUACGAAAGAUCGAUGAUGGAGUCUCCUCGGUCUAACGUAAAGAGACAGAACAUCUUAGCAGCAAAUUGGUGGACAAUAUGACCGAAAAGAAAUAGUGUGAUUUUUAGACAUAUUUGUUUGGCGCUGACGAACGUUGUUGAUAGAAUUGGGGGUUUGGCAAGGCAGUGGGAAGACUUAUGCAAGGCUUGGUGAUCUACCUUUCAUUAUUAUUAUUUUUUUUGGUUGCUAAAUUCAUUUUUCGAAUGUAUGAAAUACAUAAUAUACUACCUUUAUCUUAUAAUUAAAAAAGGCACAUUAAUUUUGGCUCAUUGCACCGACCGUCCCCAGAGCAAGUGGCAAAAAGCUUGACAGGUGAUCUACCUUUCAAAUCCUAGUUGAUUUAUAUUUCCAGCUAAGUUUAUUUCUAAAUGAAAUAAACGAAACGAAUAGCAUGCUACCUAUCUCUAAAAAUAAAAAAAUUGGCUCAUUGCAAAGCUACAUGAUUUACUUUAUUCCGAGAAAAUAACUUGAAGAAUGAAUACAGCAUAACAAAAUAAAAAUUCUGUUCAGCCUAAUGCUCUAUAACAUGCAGUGGCGUUUAACCAAGUUCUGCGUGGAAAAAAGGACUUGGUGCAACUAACUGAUAAUGCAAUGAUGAAGUACAUCACGAAAAGAAACAUUCUACAGCAUCCACCCUACUACAACAACAAGGACAACAAGUUAUUUCUCACCUGUUGUCUUGCGCAAUCGGAAGAAGCAAACAAGGACGGGUUUUCACAACGAAAUACCUUAGACCUGGAAACUCAGAAAGUAGCGCAUUGCUAUGCAAGUGGGACCGCAGUUGUUCUUGGUCGAGAAGACCCAAGAUAAUACAAAAUUUACAACAAAGUGAAGAAAUGAGAAAACUUUUCCCUGCUCGAAAUCAGGAUUUGAAUUUUGAUUAAAUUGGUCAUCGGCCACCUGAGAGUUCGAUAGCAUCCUGGUUAUAUACAGAAUCCUCGCCCCAGUCGAAUCUCUGCUGCAUCCUUUCGUACUCCUGCCUUCGCGUGACUUCUACUUGCUGCCACUCUUCCCACCGCUCAGCCAAACCCUCGCCUUCUAACAUCCGAACUACUUCGGACAUGGUGGGGCGCUCCUCUGGUGAAGGUUGGGUGCAAAGCAACGCGACUUGAAUCAUCAUUUCAACCUCCAGGCAAUCAUACACUUUGUUCAAGUUGCGGUCCACGAUGGCGUCAAGUCGCUUUUCUCUUUGUAGCUUCUUCACCUUCAUCAGCAAUGAAUAAUAUGCAGUCAAGUCAAAUAUAUAUCAGAGUUUGUCAAAUAUAUAACAAAGUUUACGAACUAAAGUAGCCAUGGCCAGGCACUCAAAGAUGCCUAAAUUUGCAGCAUUGUAAGGUGAAUGGUUUUAAAGCCAUUGUUUCCAGAUGCUUGUGUCACCCAAGAUAAUUGCAAGUAAUGCAAUCCAACAUACGAAGUUUGGUUGAUUACGUUUAUCAAGCAAGUCAACAUAUUGUCAAAUUGGGGCAUUAAAUGAUUAAUGGUUCAAUCAAGAUGUAAUUGAGUUAAAUGUUAAAGACGGCCAAACAUAGGAUUCUUUUGGUAAGAAGAAAGUGGCAAAUUAAAUGCUUCACACGUUUUAUGAUGUUUUCAUCUUACUUUUGGGUUAUGUAAGUUAUGAUAAUAGGAUUGUGUAUUUGUUAUGGUUGGUUCUUUUGUAUGCAAAUAUAGAUAUUUAUGACAUUAAAACUUUACAAAAGAGUUAUUAUAUGAUAAAAUCUUUAACAAUGUGAACAUACAUGGCACAUGUACUUCCAAAAUCUUCAAUUAUAUAGCACAUUGCCAUACCAGCAUGACUGCGAAUCCAAAUCCACAUCCUUAUUCAUGUCACGAUUCAUAGAUAAAUUCUGCUCAUCACAAGAUAAUCAUGAUGAAAAUUUUUUUAUCUCAUUCAUGUAAUUUUCAUAUAAAACUUACAUGAUCAAGCAGGAGAACAUCAUCCUCUUCCUCCAAGCGGGAAAAGUCUAUUGCACGCUGUCCGGUAACAAGCUCAAGAAGCAUGAUCCCAUAACCAAAAACAUCAGUUCUCUCAGAUGACUUUCCCGUUGAUAAAUACUCCGGUGCUAUGUGGCCCAUAGUUCCACGGACUUGAGUCGUCACAGAUGUCUUCCUCACAUCGACCAACUUAGCCAAGCCAAAGUCCCCAACAACCGCUUCGAAGCCCUCAUCAAGCAAGACAUUAGCGGCUUUGACGUCCCGAUGUAUAAUCUUCGGGUUGCAGUGCUCAUGAAGGUACUCCAAUCCACGAGCUGUACCCAGAGAUAUUCGUUUCCUCGUGGGCCAAUCUAACACCGGUUCCCCAGGUUUAAAGUCUGAACAACUCAUGAUAAUUAGGACUCAUUAAUGAUAGAUUAUGCUUUGAGAAAAACAGUCUCAGAAUAAAACAAAGAGUUGAUGCGCCAACAGGCUCCAAGGGCCUGUCCGACACUGCUGCAGGAUGUAGUGCUGUUCAAUGAAAUGGUGUUUAAGGUGCUAUGAGAAGAAACACUUUCACAAGAGGCAGAAACUGAAGCUCUAAAUUGAAGCUUUUGUUUUUGGGCCUCAAACAUGUGGGGAUUAACAUGAAUCCCAGAAAGCAGAUUAUUAUCAGCAAAUGCUACAAUCAUAGAUAAAAACAUCAAAUAAACCAAUAGAACUGACAAUAAGAAGGACAAAAUAGUUGUUACCUCGUAAACGGUAGGCGACACUUAGGUUUUGCAUAAAAGGGUAAACAAGGAGACGCUCUGUUGGUGUUGUACAGAAACCAAUUAACCUUAAGAGAUUUCUAUGAACUGCUACACUUAUCAGCUCAACUUCACGUAGAAAGGCCGCUUCCCCUCCAGGACUCUCGUAGUCGGUCAAGCGCUUCACAGCGAUCUUCGUGUUAUCUGGAAGCACUCCUUUAUAUACUUUCCCAAAACCUCCCUGUCCAAGAAUAUUUUUCUCACUAAAAUUAUCAGUUGCAAUUUGUAAUUCUCGCCAAGCAAAUCUUUUCAACUGCCCAAAUGCAAUUCUUCGAUCAUCCUCACCUGGAACCAUGAAUUAUAUGAGAAAAAAUUAAUUAUCAUUAACUGCUGCACUACAGAAAACCAAGCACAACCAGAUUUGAAGCUUUAAGCUGAACUAUGUUCAUUUGAAGAAGGAGAGAAUGCGAGCACAAGAUGCAUUCUCUUAUUCAUUUCCAUGCUAAUUUCAUUUGUAAAAGAUUGAUGGCUGGUAAGACGAAGGCAGUACAUAGGAAUCCAAGAUGUACUAAAUAGAAACUUAUGAUAAGGAAGGAAUCGUGAAGAACAGUAAUAAUUAGUAAUACAACAAACUGAGUUCUCAGAAGUUUUUUUGGGUAAAACAAUGAGGCAAUUGGAAGACAAACCUGGAACAUCUACAAAAACUUCACGUCGAUUGCCUUUCUUCCUACCCUUGCAAAAAACAAAGACAACUCCUAUGACUAUGAACACUGCCGCUCCUCCAAUACUUCCUACCACAACUCCAACUUUUGAAUUAUGAGAUCCUCCUGCCAGGAAUGAAGCCAAAAUAAGCUGUGCUCCCCAAAUCUAAAAGAAGAAACUUCCAACUUGAUUUCUACUGCAUGAUGUAAUAACAUCUAUUUACCUUGAAAAGGCAUAUUGGAGGCACAGGAGUGUGGAAAAUUCAUGCCACAAUUUAAAUUGUUUCCCGUAAAGCUGCAUCAAGUAAGUAAACAAAAUCAGCUGCCAAUAUUGCGCCUUAGUGUCCAGGGUUGAUCAUUUAUGCAUACUUGUAUCUGGCCACUUGAAAUAGUGGAUCAGGUAUCUGACCAGAGAGAUGAUUGAAGGCCAGCCGACUGCCAACAUGUUGAAAAAGAUUGUCAAACAACAUAUAUCUCAUUUGGAGAAUUAUAGUCAUUGAGGAAACAGAACUCAAAAUAGUGAGUAUGAAAUUACAGAAUAAGUUUAUAUUAAAAGCACACUAUAAAAUUUGCAAAUUUGCACGUUUUCAAUAUAACUGUAAAAAGAAAAUCCAUCUUUUACCCCUCUAGCAAAAGAAAAGAUUAGCAUCAAUAUUUGUAGCACUUACAUGUCAUUUAAGCUUGAAAGACUUGAUAAAGACUCGGGGAUAUUUCCACUGAGAUUGUUUUGACUUAAGAUCCUGAAAACAAAUCACAUAAAUGCAGCAAGAAAGAAGGUUAUGUGCAAGCAACAUUAACAGGCUUCCAGUCAUCAAGGUUUUGCUUCUACUAACAGAAUCUGGAGCUUAGAAAGCUUGCCCAGGGUAGAUGGUAUUUCUCCAGACAAAAGAUUAUCUUCCAAAUCCAAGCUUGUCAAACUAGAUAAAUUUCCAAACUGUUCAGGUAUUCCUCCAGUGAUACUAUUACCAGGCAAUGACCUGCAUAACAAUUACAUACCUCAGACAAAAGCUGAGAAAAUAGAAAAUGUGGGACAUGAUGACAAAUGGCUUUAGAAUUUACAGAAAGUAAGACAACAAAAAAACCUAAGAUACUCCCACUUGGGAUCAAAUUCAUAAUAUGCAUAGAAUAUAGAUCAAUGAUACUUCUAGUGCAAAGCCUUUUUUUCUGAUUCAUUUUAAAUCAUUUUCACUAUUGUCUUUCUUAAUGUGUGCCAAGUAUUAUAUAUAAUGCAGUUUAUGGGCUAAGCAUACGAUAAUGUAGUAACCCUUCCAAACUAGUAAAAUAAUUCUUUUCAACUCAGGAAUUUCGGAUUACUUCAUUUAUACUGAUUAUCUUGAGACCUACUUAAUGCAAUCAGUUUGGAAAUUGCGCAAACAAGAAGCUGUUUAAUUUGUUGAAUAUUGAAAAUACGAUACAAAUAUGAUAUGUUCAUCAACUAACCAAGUCUGAUUAGCCAUUUAUGCAUAAUAAGAAAGUUGAAGAAUGAGGAUUGAGGAGUAAACCAGUAAAAAAUCUUAUCCCUAAUCAGCUACAGAAUAGUCAUUUUCUCACUCAAAAAAAAAAAACUAAAUAUAUAAGUUAUAAAAGUUCUAAAUAUCUAGUAUGGUAUUCCAAACAGUUGUUUAAUGACUUGUGCCAAAAAAUGCUAAAUCACAUGCUUCUUCCUGUUCUUAUACAUCCAAGGUCUAAAUAGGAAUGUCUAAGAGGGUUAUCUCCCAGCUGCAUGAGCUUGACUUAUAACCCUUUUAAAUCACAUAUCGACUCACUAUGCACAGUGGAGUGAUAAAGUUUGCUUGCCAAUAAAGCUUCAAAUUACAGUGAGAUAUUGAUUUAUAUGAAAUGUAAGGGGAUCCAUCUUGCACAUUGGGAUAAAGAUUACAUGACAUUAUUAUGACUUAAGAAGUUUGCAGGCUAAAGAAUAUACUUACAGUGCGCUUAAGUACUUCAGCUCUCCAAUUCUUGGAGAUAAAAUGCCAGUGAAUCCCAUGGAAGCCAAUGUUCUGAAAAAAAUACAUUGAAUGGUACAGUAUGUAUGCUAGACUAAGCAUGAUGCCAAACAAGAGACAAACUAAAAAAUUUUAAACAAGAGUUCAUUAAAUAUUACUAGAAAUCAUGACAGUUUGGCAGUAAAGUUGUUGUUGGGUAACCAUGAGAUGUACAGAUCACCUAGUAUUACUGUCUAAUAAGAAGUUAGCUACAAUCUAGACUCUUUAGAAUCUUAGAAACUACAGCUGACAGUUUAACAAUGUCUUUUUCCUACACAUCAAGUGGAGACAAAUGAUAUGCAUCAAUUUAAAAAGCUUUCAAACAAUAGCAUAGAAUUUUUCAAGUAAAAAUAGAACAAUAGAUUCAUUAUUUUUUAUCUAAACAAAAAAAUAGUUAAUUUGGAGUGAUCUCCUAACAGGUUCCUUGUAAUCGUAGAAACUUUAGUCUUUGAGACAGUCAAAGUUAUAGUUCUUCGACAAAUUGUAACAUUGAUUUUGACUAAAUAUUGCUAGUAUCCAAAUAUUGUGGAUCAUACUAGUCAUACAGACCCAUAUAUAUACAAAUUUUAAUGGCAUAAGCAUUUAGACUCUUUGAUUACCCAAGUAAUACUAGGUUUUAUGCGGUCAUAUGGCAAUUGUUUCCUCAUCUCCAAUAAGACACUUCUCCAUUUUGGCCUUCUUGUAGCACAUAAAAUAAAUAAAAGCAAGCACAAAGAUUUUGAUGGAAAGGAAAAAGAGUUUCACAAGCCAACUUACACUUGAACAACUCUAUUGUUACUAUCACAAAUAACUGAGUUCCACGUGCAAGGGUUGACUUGGUUUCUGUUCCAAUCAGACAGUUGGUUACCCGUGGCAUUUAACUUAACCUUCAUGUCAUAUAAUGCAUCUCCUGAAAAUGCACACAAGUUCUGUGUCAGAAGGUGUUUAAAAGAUUGCCAAUUUGCCCCAGCACUCUGUGCAUACUGAUGUUGAAGGAAUCUGAAAUAAGUUUCUGAGGCCCAAAGGCAAAAUCUCUAGUUCAAAACUUCUCCUUGUAACAGCAGAAAGAAACUAUUUAAGUGAUUUCCAUGCAAGAGAUGUUAGUGCUUUUUUUAUCAAUAUCUACUCCAACAUCACUUCUGUCUUGAAAACUAUCCAGCAUAGUCAAACAAGGAGAUAUAGACAUGCACAAACACAUAAAUAGACAUGCAUUCUCUGUGUAAGUCUAUAUAGUUUAACUGUACGAGGAAAGAAUAACAAUGCCCUGACAGCGAAGUUAAAAGGAAAAAAACUUGUUAAAAUGAAAAUAAUACCCAGAAGUGCCAGAAAACAUUACUUAAAGAGACAUCUACACAAGCAGAGAACUAUUAAAUGCAUGAGAUGUAAUGACGCAAAAUGAUGUUAACGAACAGCCAAAAUUCUACUUUACAACAGACAUAUAGAUCAGAAAGAGGAAUGUAAGCACCUUGAAAAUCAGAUUCAGCAACAUAAUUCAGAUAAGCCAAAAUAAGCAGUAUACUGAUAAGCUUCAUCUUUUUCUUGAGUUCACUGGUACAUCAAUUUAAUUGCUCUUAGUUAAGCCAUCACCUGAUCAAGAAACACGUAAAACAAAAGAUUAAAAGUAUGCAAACAAAUCUUAGAAAAAAUAACAUGGAAGAGCAGACACUGAAAUUCACAUAAACUACAAUACUAUCAAAGGGAAUAAAAAGGUAGAAUGUUUGCCAAAAUCACCUCCGAGUAUGCCUCUAACUCCAAGACCUGAAUCAUAUGAUCAUGGCAGUCACAUGUAGGAUUCAACUAGCAGUCACAUCCCAUAACCUUAAGGAAAACAACAUAUUCAGAGAAAUUCAAUAAGGUAAAGAAAGCAACCUUCUUCGAAAAAACAAAAAAGAUUCUGUGAGAAGCUCCUCUUAGAUGAUUGUAUGACAAACAGUCGAAUAUCCAACAUUCUUAAUGCUUCCAAUCCAUGAAAAGACUAUAAAUUUAAGGAUCUUCAUUGCCCUGACUACAAUCUGCAAACAUAAGAUGCCGUGAUGCAGAAGGUUCAUUGCUUCAUCUGAACUCGUAAAAAGCAAAUCCGAGAUAACCCCCAUCCUUGCUCAAUCUGAAUGAAAAUUUUCAGGGAAACUCACUGAUUCCACUUAUAAUUGUUUCUCAACCUCUUUUGAGCGGCCUUAUUGAUUGAAAAGAAAAAAAAAAAAAACUAUUACCGAAUCUUCCCCGACAGGGACCUAGUCCAAAAUCCUACUUACCAAAAAUAUACAGCCAAAAAGUCCCUUUUAACAUAACAAACAUCAACAACACCAUACAACAAGCUUUUGUCAUGGAUCGAAGAAAGGGUUCCUACAAAUUCCCAAAUCACAGAUCGCGAUUCCUCUCCGCUUCAAAGGAAACCCCCAAAACCGAAACUUUCGAGCUCAGUCCCCCCUACAAACGGAUCAAAGAACCCCAAAUAUAGCGGGGAAAAAAGGGGGGAAACAAAACCCUGAAAAAUGCUUCAAUUUCGUGUAGAAAAAAAAAGGGGGGGAAAAAAUCGAACGGGCGAAGCAAUACCAUUGUAGAAGACGAUUUCGACUUUGAUCUCGAUCUCUUCGAUCGAUGGGUCGAUGUAGAGAGAAAGGGGAGGGGGAGAGGCGUUAGGUGGGAGAAGGGGCACAAAGGAUAUGUUUUGAGUGCGUGUGUAACUGAAACACAUUCACUCACAAUUCACAAAAGCGUCAGAGGAAUGAGUGUAAGAGGAAUGAGCGCAAGAUGAAUUAGUUACCGUAUUCUUUUCUAAAUUUAUAAAAAAUAUAUAUAAAAAUAUAUAUUUUUAUAUAUUUUAGUUUUAAUUUUAUUUGAUGUAUUAGCAUCGGAUGUUCUUCAAUCCCAAAUAGAACCAAGAGUUGAUCAAUGUCAGAUCCAUUCGAUCCGAAGUUAUAAUAUAUUUUAUAAUUUUAUAUAUUUUUCAUGUUAAUUUUGUUUAGAUUAUUAUCUAUUAGUAUUAGGUAAUUCUCAGGGCUCUUUUUUGCAUUUGACCUCCUGAAAAAAAUUUAUUUUAAAUAUAGCCCCAGUAAAUUUAUAUUUGCAAAAAUAGUCCUAAUCUUGCCACGCAGGCACCACGUUAACGACACGUCAGCGGAACUAUAUAUUAAGUUGAACACGGUAAAUCAUUCACCGCGUUAGACACAGUGAAUGGUUCACCGUGUUUGGAAAAGAUAUAGUAUAUAUGUAUUGUAAAAAAAAUAUAAGAAAAAUAAAAAAAAGUGGGAGGAGAAUAUAGGUAUGGAACACAGUAAAUCAUUCACCGUAUUUGAACACGGUGUGGAGCACAAUAAAUCAUUCACCGUGUUUGAACAUGGUGAACCAUUCAACGUGUUCAACUUAAAAUCAUGACGCUGAUGUUGCGCCCGCGUGGCAGGGAUAAGGUCAAAUUUGUAAUUAUAACUUUGAUAAGAUUAUUUGUAAAAAAAAAUAUUUUGAUAGGAUCAAAUGCGAAAAAAGCCAUAAUUCUCACUUCCGAACAGAUCCAAAAAUUGAUAGAUCCCCUCAGUUUUGAUUAGAUCUGUUUGGGUGUUCUUUACGUCCGAAUUGAUGGCUACUGAACCUGUUGCAAGGAACAGAGAAUAGAAAAAAAAAGGCGAUAAUGUACGGAGAACGCAUCACUUAUUGACGAGUUUCAAAUGGAUCACUCAGAGCUUUAUUGACUGAGAUUUUCUGAUCUUUUUUUUUUCAGUUGAGUUUUUGAAUUAAAUUUUUUUAAAAAAACUUUGUGGUGCAUAAAGAAUGGGAUCUAUUUACUGCCUUUACAGAUAGUGGGAUCAUUUUUUUAACACAGGAUUGCUGAGAAAUCAUUCUCUCCGUUCAUAAAAAAAUAAAAAAAAUAAAAAAUAAUCGAUCCUAAUCUUAAUCAUCCAUGAUUCAAGGACGGCAAUCUUCUGUGGAAACGUUUCGCACAUGGAGUUGCCAAGAAUGCGCUCCCAACAUCCAUGAAAAAGUAGGAUUGAUCUCUACUGUAUUUGUGGCGCCCUAAUAAUUUUAUAUUAAAUUAUAAAAAUAGUAGGCUAAAUUAUAAAAAAUCUUCUGUAAUAAUUCGUUUUUUCACUUUCCCCUCCUGACAUUUAAAAACCUAUAUUUUACCCCGUUGUAAAAUAAAAAAUAUUCACAUGGAGGGUACGGUGUGUAAAAUGACUAUUUUGCCCCUCGCCAUUUCGUCUUCUUCCUCAUCUUCCUCAGCCGCCUCUUCGAUCGAUCGCGAUUUCCACCUCAACCGACCGCAAUUUCUCUCUAUUUCCUUAUCCACCUGCUCCCCUUCUCCUCCUGCACUCUUGUCGCCCCUCAAUUUUGACGAUAGUAGGGAGAAAAUCGAAGUAGGUGUUGAUGGAGAGGUAGGCAAGGGCAACGAGGGUGAAGGCGAGGCGGCGGAGGAGGGCAAAGGGAAUGUGGGCGAGGGCGAGGCAGUGGAGGAAGGCGAGGCGGCGAAGCGGUGGCGAGACGGCUAGCCAGAGGGAAGCGAAACAACAAGGAAGAGGGCGGAGGGGUAUUUUCGGCAUAAAAAAAAUAUUUUAUAACGGAACCCUAACGGUAGGGGGUGAAGUGCACAUUUUUCAUUUUAUAAAGGAGCAAAGUGUAGGUUUUUAAAUGUCAUGGAAGGUUUUCUGUAAUUUAGCCAAAAUAGUAUGAAUUGUGAUUAUAAAUAUAAGGAUCAUAAAUUCUAGUAUCGAUAAUUAGGUUUAAAUAUUUUGAGUCCAUACAACUUGUUAAGUAGCAAAGAGUUUGAUGGUUAGUACUUAAAAUUUUAAGUACAGCGUCUAACUAUUUUAUAUUUCUAGCAAAGCUUAUUGAGUCCAGCGGGGAUGCUAUUGAUACUUUAAGAGGCCCACAUCAUUCUAAUCGCACAUUUUUCAAUCCAAUGACUAAAAAAUUAAUAGUACAAAUAGAUUAAUACUAUUGAUAAUAUUCCAGCAUAGUUUAAGCUUUAUUUACUUUAAAAAUGAACAAAGUAGGCAGCAUAUUUCUUUUUUCUCUCUCCAAAAAAGAGUUGGUUUGGUGCCAAUAAAUUAUAAUUGCUAACCAGCUGAAUCAUUACAGUUGGUAUUGAAGCCAAAUAGCAAGAGAAAGUAAAAUUGAGAUAGUAAUACGAGAGAAAACGACAGUGACAAAAUUGUCAUCAGGGCCCAUGAAAGCGCAUUAUCUUCUUUGCUUACUUCCGUCGGUGUAUCAUUAGGCUCUGUAUUGAUCUUUCCUUUUCAAGUUUCAGACUUUUAGUAUUAUUAUAUUUUUCUGCUGAGUUAAUUGAAUAAAAAAAGUUUACUUCUACGGGUCUCGAAAAGAACGAAAGAAUUAAAAAAAAUUAAAAAAAAAAGACACGAGGAGGAAUUGACCACAGAUCAGCCUCUUCACGAUUUUCAAACAGGAUAUAAUAUUUAAGAGCAGUGCUACGCAUGUAGUCUAUAAUUGGAGUGUUUUUUUUUUUUUUUUGUUUCUUAUUAACUCAUUUAUUUUAUUAAAUUUUUUUAUUAAAAUUUUUAAAAAACAUUUGAAUUCAAAGGUGCAUGAUGCAUAUCCCUAAUGAAGUAUAGGAUUCUAUUUUGUAUUUAACAAAGUGGAUCUAAUUUUGCUGCUGCUAUGUUCAAACAAAUUUUUUUUGGGCUUUUUUUUGCAUUUAGUCCUUUUUUUUAAAUUUUUCUAUAAAUAGCACUAUAAAAUUUAUAUUUGUAAGAUUGAUCCUAUUUCUAUCACGCAAGCACCAUACGAGCGCCGAAUUUAAGUUGAACAAGAUAAACUAUUUAUCAUAUUUGGACACAAUGAAUAAUUCAACGUAUCUUUUCUAAAUCUUUAAAUUUUAGAUAUUACGCAAUACCGUCCGUAUUUGGAUACGGUGAAUGAUUCAUCGUGUUUAACUUAAUCUAGCCGCUUAUGCGGCUUUCGUGUGGCGCUUGCGUGGCGGAGAUAGGGACAAUCUUACAAAUAUAAAUUUUAUAGAGCUAUUUAUAAAAAAAAAUUUCUUAAGAGUACUAAAUGCGAAAAAAAGAGCUUUUUUUAGUAGAUGAAAGGGGAUUAGUAUAGGAGGUUUUGUCCUUUCUUGUUCCAGUAAUCUUUUUUCAUUUUAUUAAUAUUUUUUAUUUAAUUAUUAUAUUGUCUUGAAAAGAAAUACAACAUAAAUAUGUACAUAUUUAAUAGUUCGUUGAUGUGACAAUAAUUCUAUACUAGUAUAGGGACCUGCGCGAUGCAGCGGGUAGAUAAUAGGUCGGGCCGUGCUGGCCCGGCAGGCACGGCUGCCCGUUCAGGGCCACGCACGCUAAAUGUCGGCUCGAACGGCCUAGGCCCGAAUGGGCCGUGCCGUGCAGGGCUGACGGGUUCAAUUUUCUUGGCCCAGCAUAGCCCGUGAUUAUUGGUCGGGCCGGCCCAGCACGAGCUCUACAGUACUGUGUUGUGCCUAGGCCCGGCCCAUAGGCGUGUCGGGCCGGACGGCUCGUCGGCCGCCCCGUCCGUUUUACAUCCUUCCUCACAAUCCACUUGUUAUUUACCAACUAGUUCAUGUUCGGCUUAAAAUUAACUCGAAAUCGGUCACUUAUUAAAAAAUGAGCUGAAUAUAAGUUAAAAUUUUCAACUCAAAAUCUUAAUGAGCCAAAUACGAGUUUGGAUCAUCUCGUUCAUAUUCAGACUCGGUAUAACUCGAAUAUAUAUAUAUAUAUAUAUAUAUAUAUAUAUAUAUAUAUAUAGAGAGAGAGAGAGAGAGAGAGAGAGAAUUAGGCUGGAAUACUAUUAAUNAUAUAUAUAUAUAUAUAUAUAUAUAUAUAUAUAUAUGUAAAUGAAUUUAUAUUAUAUGAAUUUCAAUUAUUCAUUUAAAAUUCUAAUUUUUCAAAAAAAUAUUUAAUAUUUUACUCAAUAGAAAAAUUACCAAUGUAACUUGCUAUUCUCAAAUCAAUUUGUAUUCGACUGGUUAAUAAAUAAAUUGAAUACAUGGCUCCAUAUUUAACAAACCCCAGGACUAGUUAAUGAACGGCUCGAACUCGUUGACAGCCCCAUCUGACAAAUAAGGGUGGAAGUAUCCCCAGUCCCCACCUCCGGCGCACUAAAGAGAGUGGUAGCUACUACUUCCCGCGCUUUUACGAGUCUAGGGUUUUGGCUCUCCGACCUCCAUGGCUCCCGACGCUCCACCUUCUCCCCAGCCUCCGGCGAAGCGUCGCCGGAAAAUCCACGCAGACGACGAACCGGCCGCCGCCGCCGGCGUCCCUCCGGCGGCGGCGUCCCCUCUUGUCGUCUUCGCCCACGGCGCCGGGGCUCCGUCCACCUCCGAAUGGAUGGUCAAGUGAGCCACCAAUUUGUUUGCUUUUCUUUUUACCCCAAAACGAAUCAAAAAGAUCAAUUUUUGUAUCUUUUUGGAGUAGAUUUUCUUGGUGGGUGAAAUGUAUGGAUGGUCGCUCUUCUAUUCCGAUAUUGCAAGUCCGUACCUGUGCUUUUCGCAUAAACACUUUAGCCACCGAAAUAUGAACACACGUUGUUUGAUGAUUUUCCAGAGAGAGUUAAAAAGAGUUUCGCUCUUUCUAACUUGUAGAAACCACUGAAUUUGUCCCUAUGUCCUGUCCAAAGCUUCUUUCUCAGGGCAUUCUUGAAUGCAAAUAAUGUAUUGCUAUUUUAGGCAAAUUUGAGAAUUUUCUGAUUUUGGAACCUAUGGAAAAAAAACCAUAUUUUUGAAUCAAUCCUUUCGUACCUGAAGAGAGUGUUUGUGUGUGUCCAACAAUUUUAUGGGCUAUAUUAUGUUGCAGAUGGCAGAAAAUGAUGGGCGAGGCGCUAGAUGCUGUUGAAGUUGUCACCUUUGACUAUCCAUGUAAGUUAAAAAUUAUAGAUAAAAAUGUACAGAACUUAUCUGAACUAUGGAUUAUUUUGAGUUGGCUACCCAACCAUUCAAAAUUUUUGAUUUUACUACCCAACAUUUCAAUCUAUUUGAUUUGAGUCAGUCGUCGGUGCUUUGACUUCAAAGUAUAAGCUAAUUACUUACUUUAUUAAAUUCAUAGUUGCGAGAAUUACAUGAAAUAUACUAACGAAAGUAGUAAAAAUAAACGAUACAUUCAAAAUUUGAAGUCAAAGCACCGUUGACUGACUCAAAUUAAACGGAUUGAAAGGUUGGGUUGUACAAUAAAAACUUUGAAUGGUUGGAUAGCCAACUCAAAAUGGUUCAUAGUUCAGAUAAGUUUUGUACAUUUUUACCAAAAUUGUAUUGUUCAUAGUGAUUUUGUAGAUUAUGUAUUGAGUAAUGGUUCAAGAUGUUGAGUAGUUG
rnacentral:lncRNA from 1 species